UUUUUUUCUUUUUUUUCUUUUUUCUUCUUUUUUUGUAGGCUUCUUUGGCCUCUCUCUCUCUCUCUCUCUCUUUUUUGGGGGGAUUCUUUGGCCACUUUUAUUUUGAUAAACUCAAAUGGGACAAUGUUCUAAUAAUGACGAUCAUCACACUUUUAUUUACUUACAAAUCAAUCUUGCAACUCGAUACUAGAACAAAGAUAUGACUCUAUAUGAAUGCCUCUGGUGGUGUACCGGGAUGUGCAAUGAUCUAGCAUAGCAAUGAUAUAAAAAACGGACAAGCCAUGAAAACAUCAUGCUAGCUAUCUUAUGAUCAUGCAAAGCAAUGUGACAAUAAAUGCUCAAGUCAUGUAUAUGAUGAUGAUGGAAGUUGCAUGGCAAUAUAUCUCAGAAUGGCUAUGGAAAUGCCACAAUAGGUAGGUAUGGUGGCUGUUUUGAGGAAGAUAUAAGGAGGCUUAUGUGUGAUAGAGCAUAUCGUAUCACGGGGUUUGGAUGCACCGGCGAAGUUUGCACCAACUCUCUAGGCGAGAAAGGGCAAUGCACGGUAUCGAAGAGGCUAGCAAUGAUGGAAGGGUGAGAGUGCAUAUAAUCCAUGGACUCAACAUUAGUCAUAAAGAACUCACAUACUUACUACAAAAAUCUAUUAGUCAUCAAAACAAAGGACUACGCGCAUGCUCCUAGGGGGAUAUAUUGGUAGGAGAAUACCAUUGCUCGUCCUCGACCGCCACUCGUAAGGAAGAAAAUAAAUAAAUACAUCAUGCUCCGACUUCAUCACAUAAUAGUUCACCAUACAUGCAUGCUACGGGAAUCACAAACUUCAACACAAGUAUUUAUACAUUCCACAACUACCCACUAGCAUGACUCUAAUAUCACCAUCUUUAUAUCGCAAAACUAUUGCAAGGAAUCAAACAUAUCAUAUUCAGUGAUCUACAAGUUUUAUGUAGGAUUUUAUGACUAACCAUGUGAAUGACCAGUUCCUGUCAUCUCUCUAAAUAGAUAUAAGUGAAGCAAGAGAGUCUAAUCCUUUCUACAAAAGAUAUGCCCACACUCUAACAAAUAUAAGUGAAGCAAAAGAGCAUUCUACAAUGGCGGUUUGCUAUGUGAAGAGAAACAGGCAAUCCAAACUUCAAAAGAUAUAAGUGAAGCACAUGAAGCAUUCUAUAAAGCCAUACUCAAAAGAUAUAAGUGAAGUGUACUGAGUAUUCUAUAAAUCAACCAAGGACUAUCUCAUACCACCAGGGUGCAUCAAAGAAAAGUGAAAACUAAAUGCAAAAGAUGCUCCAAGAUUUACGCAUAUCAUGUGACGAAUAAAUAUAUAGCUCCAAGUAAAAUUACCGAUGAUUGUUAGAAGAAAGAGGGGAUGCCUUCCGGGGCAUCCCCAAGCUUGGUUGCUUGGGAGUCCUUGAAUAUUUACUUGGGGUGCCUCGGGCAUCCCCAAGCUUAGGCUAUUGCCACUCCUUAUUCUUUCAUCCAUCUUGAUCUCUCCCAAAACUUGAAAACUUCAAUCACACAAAACUUAACAGAAAGUUCGGUAAGAUCCGUUAGUAUAAUAAAGCAAAUCACUAGUCUAAGUACUAUUGCAAACCAAUUCAUAUUUUGUUUUUGCAUUGUAGCUACUGUAAUAUAAAUUUCCCAUGGCUUAAUCCACUGAUAGAAAUUGAUAGUUUCAUCAAAACAAGCAAACUAUGCAUCAAAACUAGAAUCUGUCUUAAAUAGUAUAGUGUAGUAAUCUGAACAUUCACCAUACUUCUGGUACUCCAAAAAUUCUUUAAAAUUUUGGAAAAUAAACAAUUUGUAUAUAAAGACAUUUCAAAAAGUUUCAGAACCAUUUGACGUUCCAGUAAAAAAUAUAAAAUCGCGCACUACAGCCAAAGUUUCUGUUCUCCACCGCACAAACCAACAAGCAAUGUAAACAUCCUAAAGGAAAAUCUUGGAACAUUAUUUUUAUUAUACAAUGGAAUUGUACAAGGGGAUAAUUAUUUUUGUUGAAAAGUUUCUGUAAUCAAGAUUCACAAUUUUCCGUGAGCAUGAACAAAGUUCAAGGAGCUCCCCCACUUCAACAAUGUUUGUCUCCCUCACUUUCGCUUUCCUUUUUGAAAAGUUUGGGUUCCCCUCUUUAUUUUUUUGUUUUUAAAAUAUAUAAAAGAACUCAACAGAAGUAAAUGACUCUCUAAAACUUCCGGGUUGUCUCACUGGCAGCGCUUUCUUUAAAGCCAGUAAGCUAGGCAUAUAGUGCUCAAGUAAUGAAUCCACCUCGAUCCCAAGGUAUAUCAAAGCCAAUUUUAAUUAACAAUGAUUUGUGAUUUAGUAGUGAGCACAAAGUAACAUAUAUCAUGCAACAACGAAUUCUAACUCUUUUCCUAUGCAUCGGCAUAUCACAAAAGAACAAUUCAUGCACACAUAGUAAAGGCUAGUGCAUAGUAUAAAUAGUUUCUUGCAAUUUUAUCAUAUUGGAAACAUGGAGAGGCGGAGAUGUAGUUCCUCUCUCAUAAUAAUUGCAAGUAAGAGCAGCAAGCACAUGCAUAUUAUCUUUAUCAAAAUCAUCAUGUGUAGUAAUAAAACGCAACCCAUCAAUAUUAUCCUAAAUAAGGGCAAAAUUCUCUGAUAUUGUGUAGUCGGGAGAAUUCAAAACGAUAAUAGGACUAUCAUGUGUGGGUGCAAUAGCAACAAUUUCAUGUUUAACAUAACGAACUAUAGAAAGUUCAUCUCCAUAAGCAUAAUUCAUAUUGGCAUCUUGGCCACAAGCAUAGCAAGCAUCAUCAAAAAGGGAUAUUUCAAAAGAAUCAACGGGAUCAUAACAAUCAUCAUAGCAAUCAUCCUUUGGUAAGCAUGAAGGGAAAUUAAACAAUGUAUGAGUUGAAGAGUUACUCUCAUUAGAAGGUGGGCAUGGGUAGCUAAUCCACUCUUCCUCCUUUUGUUCUUCACUCUCCUCAUCAUCUUUUACAUCCAAUGAGCUCAGAGUUUCAUCAAUUUCUUCUUCCAUAGACUCCUGCAAAAUAUUAGUCUCUUCUCGGACAGCGGAGACUUUCUCAAUAAAUUCAUCAAUAUCAUAAUUGUAUUUAUAAUUCUCAUAGCAAUAUUUAAGGAUAGCUAAAUUUUUAGGUCUAUAAACUGAAUCAUCAAAAUCUUAAAACUCUUUAAACAAAGAUUCAAUUUCAUAAGCACCCAUAAAAGCAAUGAAUUCUUCUAUUUGUUCCACAUCAUAAUAAUCAUAUAUACCAUUAGCAUAAGAAGCCAAGGUUUCAUCAUCAUUAAAUUCACAUGAAAAGGGAAGGUGUGCAGCCUUCAUCCUAGAGCAACAAGUAUAGUCAUAUCUCAUGCAUAGGUGCCGAGCAUACCAAUGCAACAUAUAAAUUUGAUCCCAUAAUAGUUUCCCUUUUUGAGUCAAGCGAUAAUCCCUAAAGUAUUCACGUUGAUCCAACCUUACUCCCAUUAUAAAAUUGAAUGGGGUUUUCUCAGGAUUAUCAAAGUAGUACAUAAUAUCUUUCACAUAAUGAGCAUCGAGGGUUUUAGGAGGUUCCCCAUAUCCAUGAGUAGCAAGUAAACCUAAUUUUUUUUGGUAUUUCGUGUUCCACAUCCAUAACUAAAGAUAGAGAACAACUUAGAACAACAAAUAAAAAUUACUUAGUGAUAAAGCAAACAAGCACACACGAGAAUAUUCAUCCCAAAAUAUAACUCCCCGGCAACGGCGCCAAAAAAGGUCUUGAUAACCCACAAGUAUAGGGGAUCAAUUGUAGCCUCUUUCGAUAAGUAAGAGUGUCGAAAUCAACGAGGAGCAAAAGGUAGAACAAAUAUUCCCUCAAUUUUUAUCGACCACCGAUACAACUCUACACACGCUUGACAUUCGCUAUACCUAGAACAAGUAUAAAACUAGAAGUACUUUGUAGGUGUAACGGGAUUGGUUUGCAAGAAUAUAGAUAGCACGUAAAUAAAAACUAGGGGCUGUUUUAGGUAAAGAAGCAAUAAAGUUAGUAUAGAGAGUGUGGAAAAGUGGUGGUAGGAGUUGCGAAAUUGUCCCUAAGCAAUUGACUACUUUACUAGACCGAUAGCAAGUUUUAUGUGGGAGAUGCCACUGCUACCAUGUCAUCCCUGACUUGGAAUUCUAUGCACUUAUGAUUGGAACUAUUAGCAAGCAUCCGCAACUACUAACGUUCAUUAAGGUAAAACCCAACCAUAGCGUUAAGAUAUAUUGGUCCCCCUUCAAUCCCGUAUGCAUCAAUUUCUAUGCUAGGUUGAAGCUUUUGUCACUCUUGCCCUCCAAUACAUAGUCCUAUCAACAUACAACUAACCCUAUGGUGUGAUCCACGCGCGCGCUCAUAUGACGGGCACCAAAGGACAGCAACAUAACCACAAGCAAAUUAAACCAAUCAUAGCAAUUCACCAAUCACCGAUAGGACAACGAAAAUCUACUCAGACAUCAUAGGAUGGCAACACAUCAUUGGAUAAUAAUAUGAAGCAUAAAGCACCAUGUUCAAGAAGAGGGUACAUCGGGUUGCGGGAGAGUGGACCACUUGUAACAUCCCAAAUUUCCAAUUUGGAAUGUUAUGCGUUAGAUCAUCAUUGCAUAUCAUAUCUUAUUGCAUUUUGGUUUGAUCCAAGAAAUUCCACACAACUCAAGGACCCACGGAGAGAUUUGGGGAUUUCGUUAUUUUCAUAUUUGAGUUUUCUCAAAUUUUGAAAAAGGAUCAUUUGAUUUUAAUUUUUUCUCUUCGAAUAUUUCUUUUAUGAAAAUAAAAAGAGAGGGCCUAAAAUGACUUCCCCAAAAUAAAGGAAUAUUGGAGAUUUAAUAUUAAAAUCAAAUAAGAUUUUAUUCAGAGUUUUAUUGCUAUUUUAUUUGAAUUAGGAAAAAUAUGCGUUUUUUCAAAAUUGCAUUAGAGGAUCAAAUAAAUGUUCACCUUGUCCGUUAGAUUUUUAGAGGACAGGGAAACUUUAUUUCAGGAUUUUUGGAGUCUAUUUUGUAUUUAUUUUCUUUGUUUUUCUGAGCGGAUCUAUUAAUAUUAUUUUAAAAAAAAUCCAACCGACCUAGUCGGGCCGUAACCGAGUAGGACACUAUUCCGGCCGGCCUCUUAUAAGCCGAGCCGCCAGCCCGCCAGCCCACCCCACCCGAUACCCUAGCCAGCCCCGCCGCUGUCGCCGACACGCGUCGCCGCUGCCGCCGCUGCCGCGCCGCCAUCGUCUCGCCCGCCCGCCGCCGGAGCCGCCCCACCUGCCACUGACCGGAGCCGUCCCGCCGCCGUCACCGGACCUCGUCGAGGUAGCCGCCGGUUUUUUUAAAACCGAUCGAUUUUAUUUCGAAAACCUAGAUUCAUUUUUUAGAUUGGUUCGGUUUUCUGUCGGUUUAUUUAAUUAGCGAACGCCCAUUUGUACAUUCGUUUUAACAAACGGUUUUCGCCCAUUAACCGUAGCCAACGAACGUUUGUUCAUUAGCCUGUUCAUCAGUUUUCUUUUUCCAGGGUUUUUCCGCGAUUAUUUUCGAUCGUGAUUUCUGCCCCAAUCUUCGUUCUAGUAUAACUUUUCGCUCGUUUAUCGGAAUCAGGCGAUUCAAGCGCCUAGAUCUUCGUAUCGAAGCCCUCUUUCUGUUUAACCAACUUAAACAAUAUUUUGAUAAUGUAAAAUUUGACUUUAGUACAGAUUAGUAAACAGAUCUUGUUUCUUUCACAGUUUGAGUUUUGUUGCUUCGUUUGAUUUGAUUCGUUUUGCCAACCGGAGUUCUUAAGUUGAACUUUCUGGUUAGAUCACUUAUUUGAGUUUUACCUGUGCUUCUAGUUGAGUGCUUAUUGUAUGCUUGUUUGUUUGCGAUUGAGUACCUGGAGUGCGAAGCGUGCUACUACGAGUCUCUAGGUUUCACGGAUCAUCAGCAAGGCAAGUAACACUUUGAGCAUACCUCUUUACUACCCAGUUUUAUUGCAUUAGAUCAAUCCUCAAACAAUUGCAUGAUUAGGAUCUGAUAAAUUGUGGGUUUUGGGAAGUAGAUGAGGUAGUACCUAUUCACCUGUUUAUUUUCAAACCUAUGGGAGUUACUUCUAUGUUGCUUAUAUUGCUAUGCUAUGCUCGUAGACGUGGAUUGGGUUUGAGAGUAUUCAUGACAGAUGUGAGUUAUUAUUUAAUGGUUCAACUUAAGGUGGCAAAUUGAAUACACAUCUGGGUGGAUUGCUUGUGGGCACCUAGAGAACCCAGUGUUGUCCUAGGAUAUCCCGGAGGACCCGUGUGAUCAUCCUACGGCCCGCCACCCAGGCUCAAAGGGAUCAUAAGAUUAUUCAUGCUAGAAACUUCCGUGUGCAGCCACAAGCCAUUAUGGGCUCUGGCAUAGUUGAAUAAGUUGUGUGAAGCUCUCAAAGAGGUAGACUAGCAGAUGUAGUGGGUUGUAGGUGGUAUGGUCUAUCCAGAGUAGAGAGUUAAUGCUUCAGAAAGACUGUGUCUCGGUCAUCCAUUUCUCAAACAUCAUGUAGUGCGAGAAAUCCAACGGAGGAGAUCGAGUCUUGUGGGGAAAAGUGCGCAAACCUCUGAAGAGUGUAUAAACUAAUCAUGGUUAGCCGUGCCCCGGUUAUGGACAUCUUGAGUAUCUGGUUCUUGGAUUAUCAUUAUUGAUCUCAUCACUCUUAAUAUAAUUUUAUUGGGUUUAAUGAUGAUGAUUAAUUGGGAUUGAGUUGGAGGAACCUUCUCAAUGUUUAACAACUACCGUGAUAGUUAAAUAAAAUUAUUCCUUUAUUGUAGGGAAAAUUUGGCUUUUCGCAAGAACAUAUUAACCAUACAGCCUCCACCAGCCAUAUAUGCAUGUAGUGAUAGCAUUUAUUCUGUUCAUUACUCUUGUGGUACCUCGCCAGCAUAUUCCAUGUGCUGGCCCAUUUCGGGCUGCAAUGUUCAUGUUGCAGACUUUUCAGACGACGAGUAAGGAGCUAUAGGUCAUUGUCUUUCACUUAGUGAUGCCGUUGGAGUUGAUGGACUCACUUUAUCUUCCAAGCCUUUUGUUGUUAUCGAUUUUAGAUAGCCUUAAGCCAUAUUUAUUGUAAUAAGUUCUCUUUUGAGACAUUCGAUGUAAUAAGUGUGUGAUUGCUAUUCUAUUAUAAAUCCUCAAGUACUAUGCAUGUCAGCAUUACCGAUCCAGGGAUGACACUGAUGCACAGAGAUCAAACUGUUUGAGGUCUUGUCGCUACAAGAUGGUAUCAGAGCACACGCUGACCGUAGGACACAACCACUAAGCUAAAACCCUAGAUUACUACUCUCUUCGCAUUUCUGACUCCUCUCCCUUUUCUACUCUUUAGGAUGGCGGAUGCAAGGAACAAGUUCACUCAACCGGAUGAAGAUACGCCUUUUGGAUGAUACUUGAAGGAAGUUACUAGAUAACUGAACAUCGGAAUACCAAGCUUCAACGGGACCUACAACUCCACUUUACCAGAAGAGGAGUGCUGGAUGAUUAGAGUUCAAGUUCCAGGAAGGACCUUUGCGCCAGCCGCUGAGCCCAUAGAGUUUUCCUUUAAUGCACCAACCUGGAGUCUAGGCAAGAGCAUGGCAGCCCACAUCACCAUGGGACACAUUGGAGAAGUUUACCAUAAGGAUCUCAAGGAUACUAUCUACCAAAUUUGUGGGCACCGAGAUGAACAAUGGGAGAUGAUCAGCACCAGGAAGGAUAGAUCUAUUGCAGCUUUCAUCCAGGAGUUAAACCAGCACAUUCGUCGCCAGGAGAACCAGAUGUGCGCAGGCAUGAUAAAUCUGAAGAAGGCAAUGACCAGGAUCACGGAGCUGGAGGAAGAACUCAAGUCUACACACGAUGGAUACGAGGAGGAAAUGAUGAUACUAGUGGAGAUGAAUGACGAUCUGACAAGGAAGCUAGGAGUAUUCAUGGGAGACCCCGCGCAAGGAGGAGAAGACGAUAAUUCCACUUGCCCGGAGAACUACAUCAUCAUCGACGACACCGACUCGGACCCUGACGAUAGUAGUGACGACUUUGUUGAUGAAGCUAGAGCUCAUAUUAUGGAGUCUUCCACCGAUCAAUUUUUCUAGUCGACCACCAUAUCAGUAGUAGUAUUCCCCCAUGUAUAUAGAUUAGUCCGAGCACUUUGUAACGAUAGUUAGAGCGAUUGUAGGCCCUUGUUUGAAUUGAUUGAAGUAUAAUGAUUGUGUUUGUCUCAUGUGCAUAUGGGUAGUGUUUUCUCACUAGACCUCAUUCUAUUCUAUUCUCUUCCCUUUAAACCCUCAGAUGCCUCCGAGACGUGACCCCGGAUUUACUUUCACACCGGAUCUCACUUAGUUGAUCCAGAAGUAGAAUGCCUUGAUGCAGUUGUUAGUUCAGAACUAAGGCAACAACAACAACAACAACCCACCACCACCACCCCCAGUUGACAACUUAGCCCGUUUUCUGAGGUUGCAGUCGCCGGUGUUCUCUAGUAGCACCGAGCCGAUGGUUGCAGAUGAUUGGCUCCGUAGGAUUGGAAGGGAGUUGACCACUACAAGAUGCACAGAUGCUGAGAAGGUGCGUUUUGCCGCUCACUAAUUGGAUGGACCAGCAGCCUCAUGGUGGGAGAAUUACACAUCCACUUUUCCUAUAGCCAAUGUCACUUAGGAGCAGUUUCAGCAAGCAUUCUAUACCGCCCAUGUAUCCGCAAGAGCUAUGGCCAUGAAGAAGCGCGGGUUUCACAACUUACGCCAAGGAGGAUGCACCAUUGGCCAGUAUGUGGAUGACUUUAGUAAGCUAGCACGUUAUGCCCCAGAUGACGUUGCUACAGAUGCAACUAAAUAGGAGAAGUUUCUGGAAGGACUGAAUGAUGAGCUGAGCAUGCAGUUGAUGGUAGCAACUUUCACUAACUACAAGGAGUUGGUAGAUAGAGCUCUCAUGAUUGAAGGGAAGCAGCAGCAGAUUGACAACUGCAAGAGGAAGUACGGACAAGGGAAGUACAAUUCUGGAGCUCAGCAAAGACCCCGUCUUACCCCCGAACUCGGGAGGACCUCUUCAGCAUAACCAUGGAGGUCACAAACACAAUGGAGGGAUUUCGCGCAACCAUAGUGGCCCAGGAAUGGGAAUGGUAAUGGAGGAAGCAACGGCCAAAACCAUACCAACCCAGCAACGCCCGCCAAGAAGGAUCUAAGUCACAUUACUUGCUUCAAGUGCGGGAAGAAUGGACAUUAUGCCACGGAGUGUUCUGAAGCAAACAAUGGAAAUGGCAAUGGAAGCUCUGGGAAGAAGCCCAACCCUUUCAACAGGGGACAAGUGAACCACGUGAACGUGGAGGAGGUUGAAGUGCAACCGGAUGCAGUAAUAGGUAAGUUUAUGAUUAAGUCAUUUACUGCAAUCGUUCUUUUUGAUACUGGUGCAUCGCAUUCAUACAUAUCAAGGGGAUUUGUGGAAAAGUUUAAACUGUCAACCCAAGCCCUUAGGACACCCAUGUUAGUAACCUCGCCAAGAGCGAUGUAUAUGGCUAGCCUAUGGUGUGAUCAGUAACCAUUAAGGAUUGGUAGCUACGUGUUCCCCUCAGACCUUAUAGUAUUGGAGUCACAAGGACUGGAUGUGAUAUUAGGCAUGGAUUGGUUAUCAAAGUAUGGAGGGAACAUUGACUGUCCUAGUAAGUCGAUUUUGCUUACCACCCCAGAAGGAAGAAGGAUCAAGUAUGUAUCCCAACAUGUGCCGAAUAGGACUCAAGUGAAUUCCUUAUCAGGAGUUGUAUAGGAGGGAGUACCAGUGGUAAAGGAUUUCCCGGAUGUAUUUCCAGAAGAGUUGCCAGGCAUGCCACCGGAUAGACACAUUGAGUUUUUGAUCGAGCUGUUGCCAGGCAUAGGGCCAAUAUCUAAGAGACCGUAUAGGAUGCCCGCUAAGGAUUUGGAGGAAAUUAAGAAGCAGAUUAAGGAGUUACUGGAUAAAGGAUAUAUUCACCCAAGCUCGUCACCUUGGGGAUCACCUGUACUUCUAGUGGAGAAGAAGGAUGGAUCGUUGAGGAUGGUUGUUGAUUAUCGAGGAUUGCAUGAGGUGACGAUCAAGAACAAGUACCCACUGCCGAUGAUCAAUGAUUUGUUUGACCAGCUGCAAGGAGCUAAGGUAUUUUUCAAGAUUGAUCUGCAAUCAGGGUACCACCAGCUGAAGAUUCAAGAGCAGGAUAUACCUAAGACAGCUUUUACCAUAAGGUAUGGGCUAUAUGAGUAUACCGUUAUGUCAUUUGGUUUGACUAACGCACCUGCCUAUUUUAUGAACAUGAUGAACAAGGUGUUUAUGGAGUUUUUGGAUAAGUUCAUCGUAGUUUUCAUUGAUGAUAUUUUGGUCUACUCAAAGAAUGAAGAGGAGCAUAAGGAGCAUUUGCGUUUGGUAAUUGGGAAGCUCAGAGAACAUUAGCCAUACGCCAAGUUCAGCAAGUGUGAGUUUUGCUUGAAGGAAGAUGGAUUCCUCGGACAUGUUAUAUUCGGAGAAGGAAUGGCCAUAGACCCUACCAAGGUCAUCACUGUGACAAAUUGGGAAGCACCCAUGUCAAUUGGAGAGAUCCGGAGUUUUCUUGGACUCGCCGGAUACUGAGAAUUUCUCGAAGAUUGUAAACCCCAUGACAGAGUUGUUAAAGAAGGACACUAAGUUUAAAUGGACAGAGGAAUGUGAGGCCAGUUUUCAGGAGUUGAAGAAAUGCUUGGUUACAGCUCCAGUGUUGAUUCUUCCAGAUCAACGCAAAGAUUACCAGGUGUAUUGCGACGCUUCUCGUCGAGGACUUGGAGCAUUGCCUAUGCAGGAAGGAAGAGUUGUAUCUUAUGCCUCACAAUAGCUUAAACCCCAUGAUUUGAAUUAUGCUACCCAUGAUUUGGAGUUAGCAGCCGUAGUGCAUGUGUUGAAGACAUGGAGACAUUUUCUCAUCGGAAACCAUUGUGAGGUGUACACGGAUCACAAGAGUUUGAAGUAUAUCUUCAUGCAGAAAGAGUUGAAUCUCAGGCAGAGGAGAUGGUUGGAGCUCAUCAAGGAUUAUGAUAUGAAGUUGCAUUAUCAUCCUGGAAAGGCUAACGUAGUAGCCGAUGCGUUGAGCCGCAAGAGUCAUGUCAAUACACUCACGACCGGAGAGUUACCCAAGGAGUUAGCAGAAGAUCUUCGUAAGCUAUGUUUGGAAAUAGUUUCGAGGGGUUAUGUAACAGCAUUGGAGAUUCGGUCUACUUUGAUGGAUAAGAUCAGGGAAGCUCAGAAGACGGACAAGGAGAUUGCCGAGAUAAAAGAGAGGAUGAGCAAAGGAAAAGCCAAGGGAUUUCAUGAGGACGAGUACGAUACCCUAUGGUUUGAGGACCACGUAUAUGUGCCUAAUGAUCCGGGGAUCAUGAAAUUGAUUUUGCAAGAGGCCCAUGAUUCGCCGUAUUCGAUUCACCCAGGAAAUACCAAGAUGUAUCUGGAUUUGAAAGAUAGUUUCUGGUGACCGGAAUGAAGAAGGAUAUUGCGGAGUAUGUAGCAGUUUGUGAUAUAUGUCAGAGAGUGAAGGCAGAACAUCAGAAGCCAGCAGGAUUGUUACACCCAUUGUCGAUACCCGAAUGGAAGUGGGAUAAACUAGGCAUGGACUUUAUCACGGGAUUGCCCAGGACUCGUUCAGGCUAUGACUCGAUAUGGGUAGUAGUCGAUCGUUUCAUCCCAGUGAAGACCACUUACACCAGUGCUAAGUUGGCAAAGAUUUACAUGACCAGGAUCAUAUGUCUGCAUGGAGUUCCGAGGACCAUUGUAUCAGAUAGAGGAACCCAGUUUACCUAAAUUUUUUGGAAUCAGUUGCAUGAGACUUUGGGAGCCAGGCUAGAGUUUUGUACAGCCUUUCACCCGCAGACAGAUGGACAGACUAAGAGAUUCAAUCAGAUUCUGGAGGACAUGUUGAGAGCUUGUGUGCUAGACUAUGGAUCUAGUUGGGAUGACAAUUUGCCUUGCGCAGAGUUCUCUUACAACAACAGCUAUCAAGCAAGUUAGAAGAUGGCCCCUUUCGAAGCAUUAUAUGGGAGGAGGUGCAAGACACCGUUGCUAUGGGAUGAGGUAGGAGACCGUCAGUUAUUUGGACCAGACUUGAUCAAAGAGUCUGAAGAGAAGGUUAAAUUGAUACGCGAUAGACUCAAGUUAUCCCAGUCCAGGCAGAAGAGCUAUGCGGAUUUGUCGGGGAUAUACCCCACGGCGUAACCCGGCCGGAAGUAUAACCCGGCCGGACUUGGCGAUUCACCGGUGACCCGCACUGACCAGAUGGUUUACAAGCAACCUGACUAAACAUUAUGAUUCACUGGUAACCCGGCGGGCGAGACAGACGGAUGACAUGGCCCAAGGCCCAGAAGGCCGGUUCAUGUUAUGGUGGGCCGGUAUAAGAGGAAAGGUGUGAGGAAUAUUUGUCUUACAAGGAGUUAAGACCUUGACUUGUAUACGGUUUAUAUUAGAAGGUAGACUAAUCCUAAUCCUAAUCCUAAUAGGACUCCACAUGUAACCCGCCCCUUCAACAUAUAUAAGGAGGGGCAGGGCUCCCCAAAGAGGGGCAAGAGAGAGAGAAACAAUCUCUAGGGCUAGACACUAAAGGGGAGCCGACUUAUGCGGCGACUCUCUCAUGAGCAUAAUGAGAUCUAGCCACAAACAGCAUGUAGGGCUAUUACCGGAUGAUGUUUCUCGGGUCCCGAAGCUGUCUAAAUCCUUGUCUAACAUUGCAUCUCUCGAUUCCUCUCAACCUCUCUCAAGCUACUACAAAGAUGUGUUGGCCUCACGACUAAGUCCUCACACUAGGACAUCUACCGUGACAAUUACACGACAGGAUUCUAAACGCAAGGAGACAGUUUACGAAGUUGGAGACAGAGUGUAUCUUCGUGUAUCACCACUUCGAGGAGUGAAGUGUUUUGGAGUUAAGGGGAAGUUAGCGCCACGUUUUUUGGGACCAUACAAAGUUUGGAACAUAUGGGAGAAGUUGCGUACAAGUUGGAAUUGCCCGAAGGAUUGUCGGGAGUUCAUGAUGUGUUCCACGUUUCUCAGUUGAAGAAGUGCCACGCAGAAAUGGCCGAUAUUCCUCUGAGAGAUAUAGUACCAUUGGAAGCGAUUCAGUUGGAUAGUGAUUUGACCUACGAGGAUAAACCAGUCAAGAUUCUUGAGUUUGCCAGCCGUGUCACACACAGUAAGGUUAUCAAGUUCUGUAAAGUUCAGUGGAGCCACCAUACUGAGGAUGAAGCCACCUGGGAACGAGAGGAAGACCUACGGAAGGAUCACCCUCACCUAUUUUCUAGUCAACCCGAAUCUCGAGGGCAAGAUUCAUCUUAAGGGGGGUAGGUUUGUAACAUCCCAAAUUUCCAAUUUGGAAUGUUAUGCAUUAGAUCACCAUUGCAUAUCAUAUUUUAUUGCAUUUUGGCUUGAUCCAAGAAAUUCCACACAACUCAAGGACCCACAGAGAGAGUUGGGGAUUUCGUUAUUUUCAUAUUUGAGUUUUCUCAAAUUUUGAAAAGAGGAUCGUUUGAUUUUAAUUAUUUUCUCUUCGAAUAUUUCGUUUAUGAAAAUAAAAAGAGAGGGGAUAAAAUGACUUCCCCAAUAAAGGAAUAUUGGAGAUUUAAUAUUAAAAUCAAAUAAGAUUUUAUUUGGAGUUUUUAUCACUAUUUUAUUUGAAUUAGGAAAAAUAUGCGUUUUUUAAAAUUGCAUUAGAGGCCCAAAUAAAUGUUCACCUUGUCCGCUAGAUUUUUAGAGGACGGGGAAAAUUUAUUUCAGGAUUUUUGGAGUCUGUUUAGUAUUUAUUUUCUUUCUUUUUCUGAGAGGAAUUGUUUUUUUUAAGUUAACCGACCUAGUCGGGCCGUAACUGACUAGGACACUAGUCCGGCCGGCCUCUUAUAAGCCGAGCCGCCAGCCAGCCAGCCCACCCCACUCGAAACCCUAGCCAGCCCCGCCACCGCCGCCACGCGCCGCUGCCGCUCGCCGCCGGAGCCUCGCCCGCUCGCCGCUGGAGCCGCCUCGCCCGCCGCUGACCGGAGUCGUCCCGCCGCCGUCGCUGGACCUCGUCAAGAUAGCCGCCAGUUUAAAAAAACGAUCGGUUUUAUUUCGAAAACCUAGAUUUGUUUUUUUGUUUAGAUCGUUCGGUUUUCCGUUUGUUUAUCUAAUUAGCGAACGCCCAUUCGUACGUUUGUUUUAAUGAACGGUUUCACCCGAUAACCGCAGCCAACGAACGUUCAUUCGUUAGCCUAUUCGUCAAUUUUCUUUUUCUAGGGUUUUUCCGUGAUUAUUUUCGAUCGCAAUUUCUGCCCUAAUCUUCAUUCUAGUAUAACUUUUCGCUCGUUUAUCGGAAUCUGGCGAUUCAAGCGCCUAGAUCUUCGUCUCGAAGCCCUCUGUCUGUUUAACCAACUUAAACAAGAUUUUGCUAAUAUAAAAUUAGACUUUAGUCCAGAUUAGUAAACAGAUCUUGUUUCUUUCGCAGUUUGAGUUUUGUUGCUUCGUUUGAUUUGAUUCUUUUUGCCAACUGGAGUUCUUAAGUUGAAGUUUCUGGUUAGAUCUCUUAUUUGAGUUUUACCCGUGCUCCUAGUUGAGUGAUUAUUGUAUGCUUGUUUGUUUGCGAUAGAGUACCUGGAGUGCGAAGCGUGCUACUACGAGUCUCUAGGUUUCACGGAUCAUCAGCAAGGCAAGUAAUACUUUGAUCAUACCUCUUUACCACCCAGUUUUAUUGCAUUAGAUCAAUCCUCAAACAAUUGCAUGAUUAGGAUCUGAUAAAUCGUGGGUUUUGGGAAGUAGAUGAGGUAGUACCUAUUCACCUAUUUAUUUUCAAACCUAUAGGAGUUACUUCUACGUUGCUUAUAUUGCUAUGCUAUGCUCGUAGACGUGGAUUUGGUUUGAGAGUAUUCAUGACAGAUGUGAGUUAUUAUUUAAUGGUUCAACUUAAGGUGGCAACUUGAAUACACAUCUGGGUGGAUUGCUUGUGGGCACCUGGAGAACCCAAUGUUGUCCUAGGAUAUCCCGGAGGACCCGUGUGAUCAUCCUAUGGCCCGCCACCCAGGCUCAAAGGGAUCAUAAGAUUAUUCAUGCUAGAAACUUCUGUGUGCAGCCACAAGCCAUUAUGGGCUCUGGCAUAGUUGAGUAAGUUGCAUGAAGCUCUCAAAGAGGUAGACUAGCAGAUGUAGUGGGUUGUAGGUUGUAGGGUCUAUCUAGAGUAGAGAGUUAAUGCUUCAGAAAGACUGUGUCCCGGUCAUACGUUUCUCAAACAUCAUGUAGUGCGAGAAAUCCAACGGAGGAGAUCGAGUCUUGUGGGGAAAAGUGCACAAACCUUUGUAGAGUGUAUAAACUAAUCAUGGUUAGCCGUGUCCCCGAUUAUGGACAUCUUGAGUAUCUUGUUCUUGGAUUAUCAUGAUUGAUCUCAUCACUCUUAAUAUAAUUUGAUUGGGUUUAAUGAUGAUGAUUAAUUGGGAUUGAGUUGGAGGAACCUUCGCUACAAAAAAUACACUUCCGUGAUGAUACGUGUUUGUCAUAGUAGGUCACGUUUUCUGUCAUGCAUUUACAUCCAUGACGAUUUUAUGACAGAAUCAAGAUAGUCAUACCUGUGUUGUCGUAGAAGUGUUCCAUGACAUUACCAAAAUUAUCAUCACAGAAGUUUUCACUUCCAUGACGAUAAAUCGCGUGUCACAGAAGUGCUCUCGUCAAGGGUGACCGACAUGUGGCAUCCACCGUAACAGAACACCGUUAAGCUAUCGGGUCGGGUUUUGGAUCCGAUAACCCGUUAACAGCCUCGACCAAUGGGGAUUUUCCACGUGUAAAAUCAUCACUGGCUGGAGGAAACUCGUGUCGGCUCAUCGCUGGGACAGAUGUCAUCCACUCAUUGGACAAAAGGCGCCUAUGAUACGUCGACACGUGGUACGGCCCAACAGAGGCCCAUUCCUGUGAAAAGGCCGGCUCGUUUGACUUGGUCAAAAGGUGGCGGGCUGGCCCAUGGAAAGCCUGUUAACGGCUUGUUCACAUAUAGCCCAUUUACAGCCCGCUAACCCAAGGCCCGUUACGCCCUAUUCUUAUUAGGACCAGUAGCGUCAUCUAGGCCAUCCAAUAUGAUUCCAACCCGUUUUCACUUCUGGCCCAUGUAUGGCCCACGACGUCUUUUGGCCCAUAUGAGGCCCUAUGUAACUCUUGGCCUAUUAACGGCCCGUGGUGAAACUGGCCUGUAAUGAACAGUGUAUCACUUUACACCCAUUAACGGCCCGUGGUGAAACUGGCCCGUAAAGAACAGUGUAUCACUUUAUACCCAUUAACGGCCCGUUAUUCCGUUGGGCCGUUUCCAGCCCAUGUUAUCUUUCAGCCUUCUCAGAGCCCAUUUAUUCUUGGGCUAUUUUCUAGCAUUCUUUUACUUACGGCUCGUUACUGUCAUUUUCUGCUUGUGGGACAAAUUCAGCCCGUGGUUAUAGUCGGCCCGUUUGUGGUCCGUUAAUACGUUGGGCCGUUUUCAUAGCAUCAUCAAAUACGGCCUAUUAACGAUGGCCCGUUAUGGUCGGCCCAUGAACGAAUGAUUCCAACUCUAGCCCGUUUACGGCCAGAAUGCGGUCUGUUUGGCCCAUGUUUGGCCAAUCGAUCAUACGGCACGUAUAAGGCCCAUUGAUAAUACGACCCAUAGAAGGCCCAUUGUUUCUACGGCCUAUAGAAGGCCCAUUGUUUCUACGGCCCGUAGAAGGCCCACUAUUUAUACGGCCCGUAGAAGGCCCACUGUUUCUACGGCCCGUAGGAGGCCCAGUGUCACUACAGUAAAUAUUAGCCCAUGGUUAUUAUGGCCUAGUUUUAAAAAAUAGGUUAUUGCAUCCACUAGCAAACCGCAGAAAAAGAACUGCACUGACUACAAGCAAACAAAUAAACAAGACAACAAGGAAAUAAAUAAGCAAGAAACUUACACUAGGCUAUCACAGCUAUUACACAUAUUACAUCCACUGGGCAUCAAAGUUCGCCACCAGUGCAAAUAUAGGGAACACAGCAGCAUAUAAACACCAUAGCAAAACAAGUCCAGAACUGAAACCACUUCAGAAGAGCUCAAGAAACAAUAUCCUGGGUACCCAUAAUGCUAGCAAGAUGCUUAGCAAGCUUAUUAACUUUCUCUUGUUUGGCGCUUAAGUCCUCCAGCGCUUGCUGUUGCACUAGAAAGUAUGCAUCUGAAUUCUGCAGGGACUUCCACAGUCCUUCGGCUUCCUGUCGCAUAACAUCUGAUCGAUGUCUUUCAACUUGAAGUUGAGACUCAAGAAGCCGAACUGAUUCAGGCAACGAGUUCGAAGAGCUGGUGCCAGCAGUGGUAGCCAGUACCUCGAACACUACAUCAAGACAUGACUUUGGGGUUGUCUCAGUGUCUUCAGUAUAGUUUUUAUCAGCUUUCUUGGAGACCAACAGGGAUGUCUCACUAUCUUGAACCUUAUCUGCAUUACUUCCUUUACCAUUGCAUAACAGGGUACUCUUCUCCAAUAUUUUAUCCGCGUUCUAAAAGAGAAACAAACAAACACAUCUCAGGUUUACAAUGUAGUAUAUGAAACUCAUUUUGGUAAACCAGUUCAGUAGUAAGGUGGACAGGAUAACAGCAUGACACAAACAUAUAUCUAUGUAGUAUGGUCACUGUAUGGUCUAUAUCAUUCUAGUUUAUGUUGCCAAAUCAAGAUAGAUACAGUUCGAAUCAUAUCUAUUUAAGACAAAGCAGCAUUGACAGAAUAUAAGUGUGGGAAACUACACAGCAAUAACAACACUUGUAAUGUGCAUGGCAUGAGAACAUAACUGUUUAUUCAAUUGAAACUGAAAUCAACAUAGAGCAAGUUACAACAGCAAACAGCCAAACACAUUGAAGAAACAGGUUUAAAACAUACCUAUUGCGCCAUUGGAGUUUCAAUUGCAUCCUUCAAAUUUGAAAUUAGUUGGUAUCAGUAAAUACAGUGAUCCAAGAGCAAUGUAUAUGAACCAUAGCUACGGAACCUGACCUGAGAAUAAUUCUUCUUCUGCUUUAAGCGUUGACUUCGGGUUCGGAGUGGUGGUCCUCGUGAUUUGGGCACUGUAGUUGCCUUACUAACUGCUCGUGUUUGGGUGCUCUGUGGUGGAGACGGUGUUGUGUCAAUGGGAACUGUGUGUCUUUCUACUGGGGUUGGGGUUAGAAGGGGUGUAGCUGGUUCUUUGUCCAACUGGGUAGGGGUACAAUCUGCAUGAGUGUGGGUUAUGUGUUGUGGGGCUGGUUCUUGGGCAAGUACAACCGUGGUUCUAUCUGCAUCGACAGGUAGCACGAUCUUUUCUGGAGACCGUGUUUUUACUCCCACAGAUACUACCAUCACUCCCUCCAAUUGAAAUGGCUGAUAAACAAGAAAAGUAAUUGAAUGUACAGACAUUGUAAGAUAGACAGGUGCAAUGGAUAGUAGGGAAGAAAACAGGGCAUGAAAUAAUUCACAUUUAUGUUGUCUAAGCAAACAGAAUAGCAGGACAUAAUUUCACAUAUAUGAUGGCUAAUUAAAUAGGAUAGCAUGACACAAUUUCACAUGUAUGAUGGCUAACUAAACAGGAUAGAAUGACAUACUUUAAAAUAUGAUGCCUAUGUAAACAGGAUGACAUGAUAUAACUAUACGAUGUGUCUAUUAAAGUGGUUGGCAUGCCAUAAAUCACAAACAUGCCGUCGAUGGAAACAUGAUGGCAUGAUAUAAUUCACGGAUAGAAUGACAUAAUUUCAAAUAUGAUGACUAUGUAAACAAGAUGAGAUGAUAUAACUCUAUUAUGUCUUUAGAAAAUGGGUUGGCAUGCCAUAAUUCAGAUACAUGCUGUCUAUGUAAACAUCAUGGCAUGACAUAAUUCAAAUAUAUGAUUUAUAUACUAAGGAAGUGAGUAGAGGGCAAUCGCAUAUAUGAUGUGUCAACUAAGGAGAUGGCAUUCAAUAUUAUGUAUAUGAUGUAAAAACUAAGCAUUGCAAUACAACAUAUGCAUUAUAUGAGUAAUAUAACCCUGCCAAGUUUGAGCAUACACCUCAGGGGGAUAAUAGGACAGGUCAUCUGCCUCUGAAUCCUCCUCUGAAGAGCUAUCUCUAACCAGCAAGAUAUCUGCUUCAGCAGGUAGCAUUGUCUACUCUGAAGACCUUGUUUUCACUCCAGAUUUCUCCAUCACCAAUUCAAAUGGCUGAUGCAUAGGAAGAGCAGUUGAAUAUACAAACAUUGUCGACAAAAGCAAUGAGAAAUACAAAAAAAGGACGGCAUGAUAUAAUUCACAUAUAUGACGCUUGCCUAAACAACAUGGCAUUGCAUAAUUCACAUACAUAAUGCCUUCCAACAAGAUAACAUUGCAUAAUUCACAUAUAUAAUGUCUUGCAAUAAGAUGGCAUUGCAUAAUUCACAUAUAUGGUAAUUAGACACUAAACAGGUGGCAUUCACACAAAGCAUGUCUAAACUAAGCAAAUGACNNNNNNNNNNNNNNNNNNNNNNNNNNNNNNNNNNNNNNNNNNNNNNNNNNNNNNNNNNNNNNNNNNNNNNNNNNNNNNNNNNNNNNNNNNNNNNNNNNNNNNNNNNNNNNNNNNNNNNNNNNNNNNNNNNNNNNNNNNNNNNNNNNNNNNNNNNNNNNNNNNNNNNNNNNNNNNNNNNNNNNNNNNNNNNNNNNNNNNNNNNNNNNNNNCUAUCGGUAACUAGCAAGACAUGCGCUUCAUCAGAUAGCAUUGUCUGCUCUGAAGACCUUGUUUCCACUCCAGAUUUUUACAUGACCGUGCCGAAUGGCUGAUGCACAGGAAGAGUAAUUGAAUGUACUAAAAUUGUUGAAAAAUUUAACAUGUAAUAAAAAAUGAUGGCAUGAUAUAAUUCACACAUAAGAUGACUAGCUAACCAGGGUGGCAUUGCAAAAUUCACAUAUAUGAUGCCAGGCUAGACAAGAUGGCAUUGCAUGAUUCACAUAUACGAUAAAGAAACUAAACAGAUGGCAUUGACACAAAGCAUGUCUAAACUAAGCAGAUGACAUCUUUAAUGUAUACAGUAAGCAAUGCAAGGCACCAUAUGCAUGAUAUUACCAACAUCAGCAUGCCAAGUUAGAGCGAAGACCUCAAGGGGUAAAUAGGAGUGGUCUUCUUCUUCUAAAUCCCCCCCAGAACAGUUAUCUUCCUCUUGAUUACGAUCCGAAAUGGGUGGAGGGGGCUGCCUUUGCGCCCACCAUGGAACGACGUCUGCAUGAAAUUUUAUUGCCACGCAAGGCUCGUCUCUUUUGCUCUACAUGAUCAGUUCCAUUGUGUACAAUAACUGGCAUGCAUAGGAAUAAAACAUAGUGAGAUUAUGUAAGGAGUGCAUGCACAAAUCCAGAGUGAUGAUAGCAAAUGUGGAUAGACCCAAAACCAAUGAUAGCAGGCAGAUAAUAGCUUUAGUUAAAAAAUACAGAUAAUGGCUCCUUUAAUGUUUCUUUGCACCCAACAUGAAACUCAUAGUAGACACCGGAGAUUAACCAGAUAGUAGACAGAUAGUACUGAUUGCCGCCCCCAAUAUGUACCCCACAACCAUUUAAAAACUCAAGUUUCAGCAUUAGUUUGGACCUGACUCGGAGUCUAAUAGGUGAACACGAUGAUAAUGUAGCAUGUCAUCAUAUUAAGCGACGCAUAACGUAAGCAGACACGGAAGAGUGCGACCUCUCUUGCGGACCCAUGUAGUCCUCAAGGUCAUCUUGCUCAGUUGAUGAUGGUAAUGCAGUUACCGUGGCUGCCGGUGGUGGGGAAGAAGAUCUGAGGCGGUGAAAGACAGUCUGGAGAGCGGAUCCCUGGUGUGGUGAACCCUUCCAUCGUUGGAGCAGCUGAGCUGGGGUGGAACACAGCGCCGCAGGAGCAGGACAAACCACACAAGGUUUUCUUUGACACAUAUCUGUAACAGAAGUAAUUGAGUAAGGGCUUGUUUGAAUUUGAGGAUUCUAACAAUGCAGGGAUAGGAAAUAGACAUGUAUAGGAUAGGAAUGCACGUGCAAAACGGAGAAUUUAAAAAGACAGGAUUUCUGCCAAUCUGGGUGUUUGAUUCAUAACAAUUGGAAGAUCACAGGAUGCAAAAAAGCAUGGUGAGAUUAAGUCAGACCACAAGAAAAUGUACGGGUAGAAUGCUAUUAUGCUACCAUCUCUUAGUCUUGUGCUUGAUGAAUAGGAAUAUGAAAAGGAGGAGAAGUGGAAAUUAGAAUUCCUACGGUUUUUCUUUCAAGGAGACACUAAAGUAACAAAUCCUACAGUUUUCCUUUGCUCCAUUCCUUUGCAUCAAAUUCAUGAAAAGUAGUACCAUAGGAAACUUUCCAAUUCCGAUGUUUUUCAUUCACUUUUCCUUUCAAGCACUGGCGAUUCUAGUAGGCAGGCUUGAGCAAGGAAAAUCCUACACUAAAAAAAUGUUUUUGUGCUAUUUCUAUUACUUUGGACCCAGGCCACUGCCAUACUAGCUCAACUCCCACGCCCAUCGAUAAAUGCACAGCUCAAACGCGCAAAGAUAAGUAAUGAUGGCGUUCAAGAGAGUCCAUCAUGGAAAGCUCACUACAAGAAAUAUGUCAACUUGUGACCCUCAGUAUUGGUCUCUGAAAGGUCAUAGUUUUUCAUUUGCGACCUUUUUGUGACCAAAACUAGAAGGUCAAAAGCUGGCGGUCGUAAACUGAAAUUAUUGACCUUCUGUAAAAGGUCGUUGGUUCCGCGACCAAAUUUUUGGUCACUAGCAACCUCCCAAGGACACGUAGACGUCUAGUGUAGCCCAAAAAUUGAUGGAUUCAGCCCGAUCCAAUUCGGUUUUCUACAUGGGCCUAGCCCAUUAAUUCAGCCCAUUUAGUAUAUUUAUUUUUGUUAAUUUUUGUCAGCUACAUGGGCCAAGCCCAACUAGUCAACCCAUCAAUUUUUAUGCAUGUUUGGCCUUUCAAGAAUGUAUGUACAAUUUUGUGCAGCCCAUUUUUGGUUUACAUUCGGCCUUUUUAUACAUUCAAAUAUUAAUUCAAUCCUGGAGUUGGUCCAGUACACUUUUCAGCCCAUUCACAUAUUCAUACAUAUGAUCCACCUUUUCGACAAAUUUUGCAAAUUUCAUAUUUCAGCACUAAAUAUGUUUACAUCACAGGCCAUAAAGCCCUACAAAAUAGUAUCACUUGUUCCUAUACAAAACUAUCAAAUGAUACGUACAACAAAACAGAAUACAAAAAAUUUAGUUCAACAAAAAUAGGUUUUCUUCCUCUUCCAUCUUCCAGAACACACAACACCUGUGAAAAUAAAGAUGACACAACAAAAAUGGAAGGAUCAGCCACUAGAAGCAUAUUGAAUACAAGGGAAACAAUCAAACUAAAGAAAUGAAAGGCACGCACUGUGAAAAUUUUAACAGCACGAAUAUUUUUUAUAUUACCAUAACAAACAGAAAUGUAAUCUGAUUGCACAAGACACCUGGCAUUAUCACACACCCAGACGAGCGAAGAAUUAACUUGUGAGGAUCAGACAAACAAAGCAUUCAUGCUGAUGAUUAACUUAUAAGCCCAGCCACCCUCAAUCCUCAAUACAACACUAAGUUUUACUACUCCUGGCAACCUAAUACACUGCAGUCCAUAGGCACCUCAAUUCGACCACCGACCUCGGCGCAUAAUAGAAUCAUGACGUCCGUUUGCAUCUAGGGCUAAAUUUGACCACGAAAAUUGGCUAUUAAGUAGUAUACUCAUGUGGUUAAUUUUAUGGAAUACUUAAUCUAUACUCUGCAUCUACCAAAAGCAAAUCUCCUUGAACAGGUUCUGAUGCCAAACAAUCCAAAGGAAUCUAACUGAAAAAGGCAAAAGAAUGGUGCUUCUGCUGCUGUGAAUUGAAACCCAAAGCACCCCCAAACCAUAGCAGACUAAACUAGCUAGCUCUAGGAAAACUAAAACGCUAGCUGCAAGCAAGGAUUGGAGGAAUGGAUGGUCACCAUUAUUGAAGUUGAUGCUUCAGGAGCCCCGCCGGCGUGGUGGUUCAGGUGGUCGAGGAAGAAGAGGAGCAUUACUGCAUAAUCAACAUGAAACAAUAGUGGUUGAGUAAAUCAUAAAGCAGAAUAACAAAAUCAUAAUUAAUCUAAAUCGACUCGGAAUCAGAUAGCAUAUGAUGAGCACGUUUACAUCUUUUACUAAAGCUUUCCAUAUUCGGUAUUGAUACAUGUGCAUUAUCUUACAACAAAGAACUACAAUGUGAAAUUCAAAGAAGAAAAAUUUAAACAAUGCGUGUAACUAUGACCAGAUGAUGUUAUGAUGGCUUCCACAUUUGAAAAACAGAUAUCCUCAUGUUAUGGGUAAGAACCCAACAGUAUACUAUGUUGAUCACAAUUUCAACAGUACUAGACAAAUCUAUCAACAGAAAUCAUAUUAAACUGAUGGAAGAAUUUAUUCCCAAAUUACUUGUUGUUAGAAGCUAAGCAUUUAUAUCAAGCGCAGUAUACGAUGAACUAACCUUGUUAUGACUAGCUGUGUUGUACUAGUAUGCUAACGUAACCCAGGACAGACGGACGUCACCCAACCAUGGUAUUUUGGUUUAGCAACCAAAGCAAGCAGAAUACUCCUAUAUGUAUAGGAAGUUAGGAACUAGUACUAGAUAGAGCAUGGAAAACUGAGACAAUGUGUUGGUGGAUUCAAGGUCAGUCUAUCAGACAGUAGAAGAGUUUGAAAACGUGAUUUUACAUGCAAUGGAUGCACAGGCGCGCACAUACACCGAGAAGGAGAGAGAGAUUGCUAGCUAGAGCCGGUUUGAGUCAUCCAAAAUUGAACAGUUUCAGACAUGGCAUCCACAAUCUGUAUGCAUCAAGAAAUCAUCAGCCUCUACGCUCUAGUCCGGUACCAUAUCCCCACAAAAACCAUGCGGACCAAAGGUGCAAGCAUGAAACCAGGAUCUAUGAGAAAUUUCUAUCUAUGCACCAUAUUGAUGGGUAAUUCAUGGAGCAAGAAGAAAUACAAAGACAACAUUUGAUGAUGCGCUAACAAAUCAGCUGCUUCGUCCAUCUAGCUCCACAAGGGCUGAUCACUUGACCUGUACUCCACCUUAUAUCCUCCAUAAGGGCUGAUCACAUAUCCACAAUCAAAUCAAAUACAGAAAAUAAGAUGGGAGCAGAAAACAAAUAUAAUGAGGUUUGAGAUUGCCCAAAUCCCUCAAUUUAUUAAUCAUAUCACACCAAUUUCUGUUCAGGAUUGUACCCCAAUUUUUACCAGGUAGAAACUGUCUAAUAGCAUGCUUGUUUGCAAUAUCCUAAAUUAUAACCUUUUCUUAAUCCUCUACAUGGCAGGAAAGGAUCACCCAAAAUCCCAAUGAACAAGAACAAUGAUACAAGGAAUACAUAUGCUAUUUUCGUUUGAUUACGGCAGAGCACGUGACCAAAAUCCCAGCAUAUGUGAAAUGACAGACAAUUCACUACACCAAUAUCCCCCAAAAAUUCGACACUAGCUAUGCAAUUGGAAACUAUCGAUUUCCCAAACCCAGAUCCCCAUUUGAACCCAAGAAUCGGCCCCGGUCCCGAAGCAGACCAAGUCCAAGGCUCCAAGCACACCCGACACACAGCACGUCGCGCCAGAAUCAAGAAGGGGGCGGGCAAAAUCAAUAAACCUGGUGGAUCAGCGGGUACAUGGAGUUGGUGCAGACGGGGCACUCGAGAAGCUCGUGCACGCUACUCCGCGGCGCGACGAUGCCAACCGCGCCGAUGGCGGCCUUGGGGUAGGCGGCCGGGUGGGAGGCGGCGGCGGCGACGAGGAUCCCGCCGUGCGGGUGGAGGGCGAGGUCGACAUCGUCCGCAUCCAUGUCGGCGUUGGGCAGCAAGAGGCACUCAAUGCUGUCCACGUCCAUGGCGCACGCCCGGACGCCCGCCUCAGCCCGCCAACGAACAGCAGUGCACGAUCCGAGCUCCGACAUGUGGCGCAGGGGGUCGGGACAGGGGGAGGAGGGGUGGCGGAGGGACCUGCCGGCAAGGUGAGAGAGCCAGCAUAUCGAUCAGGGGAUUGGGGAGGAGGCGGCGGCGUGUUGGAUCUAGAUUAGGGAGGAGACGCCGACGCGUUGGAUCGGGGAGGAGACGGCGAUGUGUUCGAUCUUGAUCGGGGAGGAGACGGCGGCGCGUUGGAUCAGGGAGGAGACGGCGGCGCGUUCCGCGUGCUAUGGGAGGGAAGCAGAUGGGAGAGGAGAGGUCGUCGGCGGCGAGCUGUGGGAAGGACGAGGCGGUGGGUGGGUGGUGGCGUGCGGAGGCUAGGGUUUGGUGUUUGGACGAGGGGGUGCGGGGAGAGAGAGGAGUGGUGUGUGGUGGGGUUUUUUUUUAGGGGUAGCUCGAGGUGGGUGGGUGAGACCGUGAGAGGGUGAGGUGAGGGUCGUUGGAUCCACGAGGAUCCGACGGUGAUUUAUCCAUGAUCCGCGUGAGAGGCCCCUGGACCAAUCAGAACACAGUAUACAGGUAUGAUAUUUUGACCAUUUAAAUUGGUCGUACUUGACUAAAAGUAAGGUGCUAAAUCAUGAUAGUUAUUUUAUUAUGACCUGAAAUUUUGAAAAAAAAACUUCUCAUUGUGUCAGCAAAUUUGACUAUAGUUUUUAGGAAUAAUCACAAAUUAAAAUAAGACAAAAAAAAUUAAAGAGUUAUGAGAGAUGAGUUCUUUUAAAUUAUUUUUCCAUUUCUCGAGUGUCCAAAAUGAGUUCCUUUGUGAAGGCCCUAGCAUAUAUUUGAUACAAAUUUGGACCAAAUUAAUUUUCUAAAAUAUUAGGACAUAUUUAAUGCACAGUUGACCAAAUGGUUGGGUGCCAAAAGAUUCGAUCCACCUCUGGUGAAAAGACAAAUUUCUGCCGAUUCAGUAGGAAGCGGGUAAAAUUUGAACUGCAGCUGCCUCAUAGUUUCCUAUAUAUUUUUUGCAAAAAUUAUUUCUAGGUACAUAAGUAUCUAUUUAAUCAUAGAAACAACAAAAAAAAUCCAAGAUUCAAGCACUAGCUAGGAACGGUCAUUCCAGCCAUUUUGACCGCAUUUUGAAAUGGGCAUAAAAAAUUCAAAAACAAUGGAAAACCUUCGCAUUAUGUCAUUAUAUGUGACCAAGUUGCCAGGAAAAAUAAUAAACUUGUAAUACGACAAUUCUUUUAGAAAAGUGUUCUCAGAAAUGAGCUAUCAUGCGUGAAGAUUCAUGGCUUUCAAGCCAAAUGAACAAUCCUAUGGCCACAUUCCUGGCAUAGUUUGUUCGAAUGAUCUCAUAUUGUGCACAAGGUUGCAUAUUGGAAUGGCAAACAAUAUUUUCUAAGGAAGUUUUCAUUUUCUUUGGACGAAAAAAGCAUUUUCCAUUUUUCGAGUGCCCAAAAUGAGGUUUUUUGUGAAGGACCUGCCAUAUAUUUGUUGCAAAAUUGGACCAAAUCAUUUUAUAAAAAACUAGGCCAUAUUUAAUUCACAAGUGACCAAAUGGUUGGGUGUCAAAAGAUUUGAUCCACCUCUCAUGAAAAAGACAAAUUCCCGCCGAUUCAGCAGGAAGCGGGUCAAAUUUGAAAUGCAGCUGCCUUGUAGUUUGCUCUUAAUUUUUCCAGAAAUCAUUUCUAGGUACAUAAGUAUCUAUUUAAUCAGAGAAACACCAAAAAAUUACAAGAUUCAACCACUAGCUAGGAACGGUCAUUCCCACCGUUUUGACCACAUUUUGAAACGGGCAUAAAAAAUUCAAAGAAAACAAAAAAAUGGGAAACCUUCACAUUGUGUCAUUAUAUGUGGCCAAGUUCCCAGGAAAAAUAACAAACUUGUUAUACAGCAAUUAUUUUUUAAAAGUGUUCUCGGAAACGAGCUAUCACGUGUGGAGAUCAAUGGCUUUUAAGCCAAAUGAUCAAUCUUAUGGCCACAUUCAUAGUAUAGUUUGUUCAAAUGAUCUCAUAUUGUGCACAAGGGUGCAUCUUGGAAUGGCAAACAAUAUUGCCUAAGGAAGUUUUCAUUUUCUUUGGACGAAAAAACCAUUUUCCAUUUUUCGAGUGCCCAAAAGAAGGGUUUUUUGUGAAGGACCUCCCAAAUAAUUGUUGCAAAAUUGGACCAAAUCAUUUUUAUAAAAUACUAGGCCAUAUUUAAUGCACAAUUGACCAAAUGGUUGGGUGUGAAAAGUUUUGAUCCACCUCUCGUGAAAAAGACAAAUUUCCGCGGAUUCAAGUGGAAGUGUGUCAAAUUUGAACUGUAGCUGCCUUGUAGUUUGCUCUUUACUUUUUCCAAAAAUCAUUUCUAGGUACAUAAGUAUCUAUUUCAUCAGAGAAACACCAAAAAAAAUUCCAAGAUUCAGCCACUAGCUAGGAACGGUCAUUCCCGCCGUUUUGACCGCAUUUUGAAACGAGGAUAAAAAAUUCAAAAAAAAUCAAAAAAUUGGGAAACCUUCGCAUUGUGUCAUUAUAUGUGGCCAAGUUCCCAGGAAAAAUAAGAAACUUGUAAUACGGCAAUUUUUUUAGAAAAGUGUUCUCAGAAACGAGCUAUCACGUAUGGAGAUCAAUGGCUUUCAAGCCAAAUGAUCAAUCUUAUGGCCACAUUCAUGGCAUAGUUUGUUCAAAUGAUCUCCUAUUGUGCACAAGGGUGCAUAUUGGAAUGGCAAACAAUGUUGCCUAAGGAAGUUUUCAUUUUCUUUGGACGAAAAAACCAUUUUCCAUUUUUCGAGUGCCUAAAAGGAGGUUUUUUUGUGAAGGACCUCCAAAAUAAUUGUUGCAAAAUUGGACCAAAUCAAUUUUAUAAAAUACUAGGACAUAUUUAAUGCACAAUUGACAAAAUGGUUGGGUGUAAAAAGUUUUGGUCCACGUCUUGUGAAAAAGACAAAUUUCCGUCGAUUCAGUUGGAAGCGAGUCAAAUUUGAACUGCAGCUGCCUCAUAGUUUGCUAUUUAUUUUUUCCAAAAAUCAUUUCUAGUUAUAUAAGUACCUAUUUAAUCAUAAAUACAUGGUUUGGUGGCGAUACGUCGAGGUUUGGGUGGUGGCCGAGGGCCCCAACUCUAGAGGGCGUAAACUCGCAUGACCGCCGCGUGGUCACCGCGUGACCGUGGCAUUGCCAUCUGUUUUGGGCGGACUAGGCAUGUCUAGUGGGUUGGGCACUCGCCAGGUAGGUGCUAGGAAGAAAAUUACAACAUAAGAUUCUCACGAGGAGACCGAUCGAUGCUCAAACAUGAAUUAGCAGCCAACUGUUUGAUUAGCGGUACGGGAAAUGUACAUGGCUAACGGGUGUGAGUUUUGGCUGAGGAUGAUCAGUUACUAAGAAGACCGUCUUCACAAACUUUCAGCUCAAAAGGAGGAGCCUAGGUGGUACUUGCUUCGCAAAGUACCACACUGGACAUAAAUACGAAUGUUGAAGCUGGGCUCAAAAUAAUGAAUGGAUUGAGCUGGCAUUUGGUGUAGGAUGGUUAUUUUGGCAUAGGAAAGCACUAUAGAAAAUGGAUACUAUUUGGACAUGCCAAAGUGGUACUUCCUUCACAAAGUGCUGCUCUGAACAGAAUAGGAAAAUGAAUAUUGUUGAAUUAUUUUUGAACUAGGCAAGGAAGGUUUUUGACAUAUUUGAUGAAGAUAUGAUCCAAACAAUUUAUGAGAAUUUUUUGGAAAUUUUUGGAAUAGCAGAAAUAUAGGUUGCUUCACAACCUAAGGAAAAUUGACACAUGGACAUGACACAUAGGCAAAACUGAUGAGAUGACGUCUAGUCAUCGCAACCCACCACAAUUUACAAGGCUAUGACCAUCUAUAUUGGUCGUUAACAACUAGAAAUAAGGCAGUGGACUAGCGUUGUUUGCUUUAUGACCAUUUCAUGUAAGGAAAUUACGACCUUUCUGACCAAAAUGGUCGCAAUGGUUUAGGGUUUGGAGCCCCCCAAAUAGAUUUUGACCAAUUGGUCUUAAAUGGUCAUAGAUCUAUGACCAAUUCUUCCAGGGUCACUGACAGAAGGUCACUAGUUGACAUAUUUCUUGUAGUGGCUAAGUUGCCUGGUACCUCACUGCUUGUCAUAUAGUAGGAUAAAAUAAUCGUAUUUCCCGUUACUACGAGUGCUCAGUAGACAAUAUAUAUAACAUGUAGAGUCAAAAAGAGAUGCAACAAGUGUACAACCUCUUUGGUGAAGCCAUGUCGAUCUCAGCAUGAUUGGGUUGGCCGGUGAGGAUGCUCCGGCUGACUUGGCUGUCGGAGGAGGGGAAGAAGAUCUUAGGCGUCUGGAGAUGGAGCCCGGGGUACUGCUCCGCUGUGAUGGAGGGUUUCAUCGUUGGAGUAGCUCCGGUGAGUUGUACAAUGCCGAGGCUGAAGCAGGACAAGAGAGACAACAAACAACGUUAACCUAAGUGGAAUUCUAAUAGCAUCUCCAAUACAUGACGUAAAAUACAUAACCACAAAGUGCUAGAUGUAAAAUACAUCAGCCGCUCAUCUCUGAACUUAACUGUCGAAACGGAAUUUAACUGUCGAAACUGAACUUAACUGUCGAAACUGAAUUUUGCUGUCGAAACUGAAUUUUGCUGUCGAAACUGAACGCACUAGCAAGGUGAGGCUACACGUCGGUCGACUGAAUUUUUCAUCUCUGGUCAGUCGAUUUUGUAGCCGUUGGAUACAAAAUCAAGCACAUGCGGUUCAUCUUCAACCUCCACCCCCCUGAGCCACCAGCCACCACCGGCCAAACAGCAGCCCCCCGCCGCCCGCGGCCGGCGGUGCGCCGCCCCGCCCGCCCCGAAAACACUCCCCACCGCCGGUCCCCCACCGCCCCGGCCAUCCCUCUACCCCCCCUCCCCCCCCGUGCCGAGCUUUUUNNNNNNNNNNNNNNNNNNNNNNNNNNNNNNNNNNNNNNNNNNNNNNNNNNNNNNNNNNNNNNNNNNNNNNNNNNNNNNNNNNNNNNNNNNNNNNNNNNNNNNNNNNNNNNNNNNNNNNNNNNNNNNNNNNNNNNNNNNNNNNNNNNNNNNNNNNNNNNNNNNNNNNNNNNNNNNNNNNNNNNNNNNNNNNNNNNNNNNNNNNNNNNNNNNNNNNNNNNNNNNNNNNNNNNNNNNNNNNNNGGCGAGCCCCCCUCCCCGCUGCGGCCCGUUCUUCCUUCACCCCGGCAAGCCCCCCCCCUGAAAAUCGACUGACCCAAAAGUCGAUUCAGUCGACUAAAGUGUAGCUAAAUCGGAGCAGCAUCACAAGCAAGAGCAAGAGCGAGAGCAGCAGCACGAGCAAGAGCAAAUAGCAAGAGCAGACCAGGCAGGGGACCGAGAGCAAGAGCAGAGCAGCAGCGCGAGCGAGAGCUAAAGCAGCAGCAGCUCCUACUGAUGUGGACGUCGUCGCCAAGGGAGCGACGCCAUGGAGGAAGUGGUCGGCGACACCACCAUGGAUGGAGCCGCGCCGUGUCAGCUUUGGACCGAGCGCCGGCAGCACCAUGAGAUCGAAUCAAGAAGAAAAUGUGGCGAUUAGUGUACAACCUCUUUGGUGGUGCCGAUUAGGCCGCAGCUUCAUCCGAGGAAACGGUGAUGAUGAUGCUCUUCCGGUGGUGCAGGUGAAGACGACGGUGUGGGAAUGGAGGUGGCACAGAAGACGAGGGGAACGUCAGGGCAGGGUGGUUGAACCAGUGGGAAGAUGAGAUCGACGACGAAUCCUCAUCUGGUACGAUGCAUGAGGGACGUCGAGGUGUUGCUAUGGACGACGUCAUCGGGGAAGAGGCUCCGGCUGGGUGGCGGACGGAGCAGGGUGUGGGGUUUCGUCGCAGGUUUUCGCGGCCUCGGUGUACGAAUGGGUGGGGGGAUGGGAUGGCAGUGGGGAACCAUGGCUUAGAGACACGCUUGUCCGAAAUGUGGGGUAAGUUACGGAAGUAGCCCCACCGAUUUGAGGCGGUUCUUUCGGUUCAGGGGUACCACGGGCAUUUGCGUGUCGGGAUUUCACAGGAGGUGGGAGUUUUCACGCGCGUUGUAAUUUCGGAAUAGCAAGGCGCGGGUUGAGAUGGAGGGAAUUGUCGGAGCACAACGAGACAAAGAUAUAUCUUAAAUAUUUCAGGCUAACAAGGCGCGGGUUGAAGAGGCGGGAGUUUCGCAGCACGAUAGACAGAGACGCUAGCUUGAAUUUUCGGCAUAACAAGGCGUGGCUUGAAAUUUUGGAAGAACAAGCUUAACGUGUACCCAAAAAAAGACAAUUUGCACCUCAACACGCACAACACACACACACAAACACCAUUUAGACUAGAGUAAGGUACACGUGCAUUGCACGCAUGAGAUUUGGCAACCAAAUUAUGAAUAAAUACCACAUUAUAGCAUGCAAGUUUUGAGUCAUAUAUGCAUGAUGUAGAUGUUCGUUUAAUUCUUAUAGUUCAUUUCAUUCAAAAUCAUCUAGUUUUUUAUAAGAAAGCUCAUCUAUUUUAAGAUUCAUGGAAUUGUGUGUCGUAAGACAUAAAGUAAAAAACAAAUAACAGCAAAUCAUGUAGAAAAACAUUUGGGCAAUUAUGAUACGGAAGAUUCUAGAACAAAUAAGAAGUGCUUGUGUUUUGAUGUUUGUGCAUUAUGCUUAAGUUCAACCAUGGAGUCUUCUAGACUAUACAUGUGGCGAAAUCUGGUGGAAUCUAGAUGAUAUCCAACAGCCAAUAGUGCUCAAAUUUGCCAUCUUUGGACCAUCGGAUUCGCCUCAUCCAACGACCAUCUUUCAAAGUUAAAGUUACCCGCACACAAUAUAAAAAAUAUAAAAUAUAAUAUAUAUAUAUAGGGGUAUAGAUAUAGAUAUGUGAUGCGAAAGCCGCCCAUCAUCUCCAAUUAGAAUAGUGUGUCCAUGCACGGAUGCCACGUGGCCAAAUGAUGUCUGCCAUUGGUAUCUCAAAUUCAAAUCAGUCUGACCUUGUUCAAUGUGUAUACAUUACAACAUGCUCGUUUCCAAACCACACCGCGCAGAUCUCCGUUAUAUUCAUGCAUGCAUGGGUUUCAAACAUCAGGAUCUCUUAUUCAAAUAUUUGAAUUCAACUUUACUUUGAUUAUGACCUCACCUAUUCUUUUACACCCACACAGUAGUCUUCUCUUUAUAAUUGUACCACUAACUUUCUCUCGUGCAUGCAUGCACACACACUACCAGUCGGCAUUAUCCAUCGCACUCAUGCAAUCUUUUUCUUCAGGUCGGUCUCCCAUGAAGGCACACACCCACACACAUCCCCCUCUCCAUCAUAUCGGGCAUUCUUUAUCUCUCACGCGUGCAUGCGCAACGAUCGAUGUUCCUCUAUGUAUGUGUGUAUAUAGCUAGGUCUUUCAUAGUUUUCCACACAAACUGAUCAAUCGAUAUAUCCAGUGAGGUCCCACCCUCUUUCCCACGUCCACAUCGAUCAAUCUAUACCUCUCUAUAUAGGAUUAACAUAUAUAGCUUAUACAGCCACAUUAUUAUAUAUCCAACGUCCCCCCUCAUCAUCCAUGCCUUCCGCUUCAUCUCUCAGACUCGUGCACAAUGGCGAAGACAGGGGCAGUAAGGGCCCUGCCCCCUCCCCCCCCUAACAUCACUAUAUAUCGAGGCUAAUAUGAAUGUGAUCAUUAGACAAUUGCUGCUAAAAAUGGUUUAAGUUCAUGAAUUGACCCUCCUCGUAAAGGAUUAGCAAUGCUUGGCCCCCUAGCUCAUUUAUUUUUUAUGGCUCCGCCACUGCGCGCAACAGCGCAUGUGUUCGCCCCCUCUCUCUAAAUAUCGAUCUCGCACUUGUGCAUUCCUUCAUAGUCUCCCUCCACUUGGCCCCUUGCACCAUCUUCUAGGCCCCCACCGGAUUUUGCCACAUGUACAAUCUAGAGGACUCCAUGGUUGAACUUAAGCAUAAUGCACAAACCUCAAAACAACAAUGGUUCUCUUUUGUUCUAGAAUCUUCCGUAUCAUAACUGCCCAAAAAUUUUUUAUAGUUGAAUUGCCAUUAUUUGUUUUUACUUUAUGCUUUACAACACACAAUUCCAUGAAUCAUAAAAUAUAUUAAGGGAUUCUUUGAUUCAAAGGAUUCUCAAAGGAAUUUUGGAGGAUUCUAAUCAUUAGGAAUUUUUCCUAUCUUGGUUGUUUGAUUCGUAGGAUUGUAAACCAUAGGAAUUUUUCCAUAUGAUUCAUUUGCACUAGAUUUCAUAGGAAACAUCCCAUCCACUCAAACCUCUUUGAAAGAAUUCUGCGUUUUUUCUAUGCACAAUCAAACACUCGUACAAUCCUGUAGGAUUCAAGACAACAUUCCACUAUAAUCCCAUGUUUUUCAUAUUCCCGUGUUCUUAGCUUUUUUAUAAAAACUAAUUGAUUUUGAAUGAGAUGAACUAUAAGAAUUAAACGAAGGGCUACAUCAAGCAUAUAUGACUUAGAGCUUACAUGCUAGAGUGUUGUAUUUAUUCAUAAUUUGGUUGCAAAAUCUGAUGCGUGCAAUGCAUGUGUACCUUACUAGUACUUCGAGUAUGUGCAAAACACGUAAAUUAGAAUACCAAUGGCACGCUACACAGUGUCUCUCUUACAGUUCAUGAAGCCAUGUGGCACAUGUGGAGGCGUUGUCGCGACCUCCUUGCGUGGAUUGAUCACAGUGGCGUGCUGCUGGUUCCAGAAGAAUGUACUCGUCCUCCCUGAGCCAUACUGGCGGUACAUGCAUGAAGCAAAGAUGUGCACGCACGCCACGCACGCACUCAUUCCCUUGCAUGCACACACGGGUACACGGGCGAACACAAUUUGGUACCAACAUCCACCCCAUGUGAUAAUUUGACGCUUGUAAAGUCGUUCACUUCAUUGAUGGUCAAUUAAUACAAUGCAUGCAAAUUGAGUGGACGUGAGGGCGGAAGAAAGACAUUAUUACUCCACUGCGCGCAUGCGAGUAGUUAAAUCGUGGAUUGCUAGUAGUACUUCCAUUGGUCGCCUUCGUAUUUUGUGUCAAUUUUUGACAGUAACAUAAUAUUUACGCAUUUGAGCAGUGUAGUACUUGAAAUUUAUGUUCCUCUAAACUCAUCGGGAGCCGUUUUGGGCCUCGAAACUAAAACCAUCAAUUAAUCUUUACCUUGUUCCCAUCACAUUCGAAAGCCUGCUCACACCUACUAGUACGUACCAAACCUGAACGUGUUCCCACUAUGCAGGUAUUAGUACUAGUGCUAGUACAUAGGUUAUAAAAAGGGGAACUACCUAACCGAAAAUUACUCUACCUUUCCUCCUCAUAAGUGCUUCUUCUUCGUCCAUCAUUGCCAUGACCGGUGAGCAGAGCUCUAGGUCGAGAACUACUCGUUACAAGGGAGCGGCAACCAAGACUGCGGAAAAGAAAGAGGGCUCGCCGCCACGCAGAGACCUCAAAAGAUCUCUCACGGGCAGGCGAUGGCUCCCAGGAGUGCCCUAGCCGCGGAGGCGAACAUGCCGAGCCGGCGGAGCUGGAGUCGUUAUCCCUCGACGGCAUGCCCGGUCAGCUCAAUAAGCACCUCAAUAAGUAGAAGGAGUUCAUCCAAGGCUUGAUGGAGUUUCUGAAGGAGAGCCUCGACGACAUGCCCGCUGAGCUCAAUCAGCAAGGGGAGUUGACCGCCGGCUUGGUGAUGCUGCUGAAGAAGAGCAUUGCCUCGGAGAAGAAGGUGACCGGCGAAAUCCCGCGACUUCAGGAGGACAGGGCGAAGCUCUGCCAUGAGAUCGACCUGUUGAAGGAGAAGAACGUCGGCUGGAAAAAGCUGGAUGAGAAUAGUAGUUCCUCGAUGAAGAUGAUGCAGGCCCUCGUCAUGGAACAGAAGGAGGAGUUGGCGAAUCUCCGCAUCGAGCACCCGGCAGCUGUCAAGGUAUGUAAUGUGGCCGUGGAACAGAUGAUAAAGGCUCGCGUCGAGAAAUCCUGCGUCAUGGACAGAAUGAAGAAAAUGGCGGAGGAGACACGCAAGGAGAUGGAGGUCGUGGAGGCGAUGAAGAAACAGUUACGACUCCGCGGCGAAUUAGAUCAUUUGGGGCGAUAAUAUUCCUUCUUUUGCUCCUAUGUUUCAUCUUUUGCUUCGGGUGUUUCGCCGCACGUGUCACGUUCUCUGCGACGCAUGAAUAGAACAAUGGUUUUUUUGAGGGAAUGAAUAGAACAAUGCUAACAAUGAGAUGACUAGCAAAUUAGAUCAUUUUUUAUCGCCAUAUGGCACUGGGCUGCCGUGUUUUGUGCUCCUCCGUCGCAGUACUACUCCAGUGUGAACCUUGAGUAUACCGCAUGGUUCUUUGGUCCUCCUCGAUCAGGUCGUUGGCGCAUUUAUACGAGUAGUCAAAUCACAAGGCCUCGCCUUCCAGUAGUAAUGAGCCAUCAAAUCACAAAGGCCCUCGCCUCUCGUGAAACUGACCAAGCUAGACUGCCCCGCCCUCUAGCCUUUUAAAAAAUGUAUACUUUUGUACAGCAGUAGUAUCGAUGGAUUGCGCCAUGGAGCAAAACUUGAAAUUAAAAAAAGGUGGUACAUAUAGAUAGCGCUCGUCGCCAAAUUAUGCAUAUAGUACUAUUAAAAAGGCUAGUCAUAAUAAUGGUGUCCAGCACAACCCACCCCUCAAAUAAAACUAAGAGGGUUCUUGGAUACGUUUCAGUCCCAUGACUAAAAGUAGUGGGACUAAAACAUGCUAGCCUCACCCAUGCUUGGAUCCAAAUACUAAAAAGGCUAAAAUCAAGUUAAUGAGCAUUUAUUAUCCUCCAAACCCUCCAAUCCAGAACUCGCCUGUGUUAAAGGAGAGGAGUUAAAUGAGUAGAGAGAUGACUAAUCCACAUUUUAGUAGGGGUACCCUUGACUAAAAAAAUUAGUCUCAAGACUAGUUUUAGCCCAUCUUUAGUCAGGGGUGCUUGGAACUUUAGCCUCUUAAAGAGACUAUUUUUAGUCAGACUAAAAUAAGUCCCUUGGAUCCAAGCACCCUCUAAGCAUCCUGGAAUUCUUUGACAAAACUAAGCACCCUGAAAUUCUUUGACAACUAAACUGCUGGCUAUAUGAUGUUGGCCAUAUAUAUUGUACGUAUAUAAUGUGAAGAAACGAGUGGUAGUACUAUACCAACUAAAAGAUGAAAUGUAAGAAAUACUAGUAUGUACGUAGUGAAGAGUUAAAGUAAUGAGAAGAAACAUAACAUAGUUCUGCUGGGGGCUCAGCACAACACACCCCUAAAAUUAAAUUAAGUACACCUGAAAUUAAACUUUGCAACUAUUCCGUAGACACUGCAUUAGAACCACCAUGAGCAACGACACUGCCACCUUACUCGGAGUCCUUGUCCAUGUCCUCGACUUCUUCCUUGUCCCUCUUCCUCUUGGCCGAUACUUCUUUCCUUGAACCGCACACUUGGCUGUUGCUCUUCAUCCAACCCUUGUAGAUAUUGAAGCAAAGGUAGCCAUCCAUUGCAGCAUAGUGGAUGUGGUCUAUAUCUAGUACAUUUCGCUGCCAUGCAUGACGAUGAAACGUGUAUGGAGGUUUCUCCAGUUUACCAUACGAAGGAUGAACCAUGGCUCCUGCGAGGGUCAGCAUUGAAGGCUGACGAGAGGACACCAGCCGAUUCUUCUGGAGGUCGAAGGGGUUGCCUACAACGAGACCUAUCCGACGCAGGACAUCCCUGUCAUUCUUAAAGUCUACAGUAACGAAUUUCACUAUUUUGUCCUUGAGGAAGUUCUUAAAAUCCUGGCACUCAACGUCGGCAUGGCAUAUGUGGUAGACCAAGCAAACAUUAUGUACGCAAACCUGUAUCACGGCGGGCUUCUUCCUCUCUUCGUCCUUUAGAUCCUUCUCUGGUCCCAGGACUGUGGUGUACUCAACAUCUAGCCCUGCGACCCACUCAUCAUAUGAGUUUUCGAACAUGCGUCUAAAGCGAGAAAGGCAUCCUUUAACCAUCGCGGAAGAACGGGUGUAGAUGAUGUCGAACUCAUCGCCAGUGAUGGUUCUAACCUUGUACUCACCGCCGAUCGUGGAGAUUUGGGAUGCCAUGGAUUUGGGAGGAGGGUUAGGAUUAGUGGAACUGCCAUAAUGUGAAUGGACGGGACAACUAGGAGCGAACUGAUGUAGUAUUGAAGGACGUGUGGGGACGAGUAGGAGUGAACUGCCAGUGUGCGAACGGCAGGGUAGUGGCUUUCCAUUCUCCCAUGAUACGGGCUUCCGAGAGCCCUUGGAUCUGAGAUCGAACGGUUGCAUGGCGUGAUUCUAGACCUAUGGGUGAAUAUCCUAUCCUGGAGGGUUAUUCUAUAAAUUUUCAGCAACUUAGCAUGCGACCGUUUGAUCUCAGUUCCAUGCCAGCAGCCCGUAUCAUGGUCGCGCCUACCAUGACCAUCGCGUCGCUCGUGCGGUCGCGCCCUUGGAGAUUUAACACGGUGCGUUAGGCUAUGUGAUGUUGGCAUGUCAUACAUAGUCAUCACUUAGUCACUCGUACUACAACAAGGUUGGCUAUAAGGUUGGCUAUAAGUGUUUUUUUACUCCUCUCUAUCUCUUUCUUCGUAAUGGAGGUGGUCAGGAAUCGGGAGACUCACGCCGGUCGUAGCGCCGCAGUUAAAAUGAUAAUGGCAAGUCAAAUCACGGGGCCCCACCUGUCCAGCAGUAACUUGCUGUCAAAUCACACAGCCCUAUGUUUGCAGCAGCCUACUCCCUCGUCUUCUCGCGUCUCUGUCGAACCGACUAGGCGGAACUGCCCCGCCACCUACCACGCAGGAAAAGCCCCGCCCUCGACUUUUAAAUAGUAUACGGUAUACUAAUUUUGUAUCCAUGGAUUGCACCUGCAUGUACGGAGUAUACAGCACGCCUGUCGUGUUCGCGUCACACCCCAGACGGUCACUCGGUGUGGCACGCUACUCUCCGAAUGGAACGCGCAUCAUAUUGUGUUUGCACACACAUGUGGGAUGGCAAUUGAGAACCGACCAUAGGCACACUCCCCGGCCCCGCAAGUUGGGUGACUUAAUAGAAGAGGGAGACGAGCGAUAGUACUAGAGAAGUGUUGUACUACGUUGGUGCUUGGACGAUCCCUGCAAGACAUGGAAUAUCAGUUCGUCCAUGCAUGUGACCAGACUCCAGCAGACACGCCUGGAUUGGCUAUCGUCUACAUAUCGUGCAGGCUGUGUUGUACAUGGCUGUAGUUGUGGUGAGAAAUCUAAAAAAAUGUUUCUUGUCAUCUCGCAAAAUUAGGUGUCAUGUGCUUCGGAUCACUGCGAGGGUUAAACAGCGACAACUGAGUUGGGCUAGUCAUUGGGGGCACAUGCACGAACAGUGACUACUCGGCUGCCAUCUAGUUCAAGCCGGCUAUGUUAAUUAGGACAUUUAUCGACGGACCCCUUUUCUACGAGUUUAUCUUUAAUUUGAGCUUGGUUCCUCGUCUAGUUUGUCCGUCGGGAUUCAUGUUGUCUCCUUUGGGCAGUGAGGCUAUGAUUUCUUGUCCUGUGGCAUUUUUUUCGUGUUAUAUGUUAUAAUCCGGCGCUUCAGAUCAACAUGACGACAACUGCGCCUCCGGGCCACGUGCAUGAGGAGGGAGAGGCAAGACGGUGGUUUUGCAAUGGAGAAGAUCAGAAGAGGGAGAGGCAAGACGGUGGUUUUGGAAUGGAGAUAAUGGAGAGGAGAGGAGGUGGUUUUGCAAUGGAGAAGAUCAGAAGAGGGAGAGGCGAGACGGUGGUUUUGGAAUGGAGAUGAUGGAGAGGAGAGGAGGUGGCUUACAAUGGAGAAGAGGGAGAGGAGCGUGCGGCAGCGAUUUAGGAUUGGACAAGAGGGCCGGCGCGCUGGGACUGUAUCAAAAUCAAGAUCAAUUUACCCUUCAAUUAAGAAAGCGACCCCACAUUAACUAGUCUCCCUUUUAUUCUGGGUCAUAAUUGACCAUGAUUUUCACACAUAAAAUAUAUGUUAUACGUUGCAAAAAUAAUAUAAUUUGAAAGUACAUUCAGAUAUGAACCAAAUGAUACAAUUUUUGGUGACAUGCAUUCACAUUUUGCUUGUCAAAUACAGUACGUGGUCAAACUUUGACCCAAAAUACGCAAAACAACAAAAAAAUACUUCCAAGACCAGCGCCGCUCUUCCGCUCUUCUCCUCUUAAACCAUCGUCGCUCCUCUCCUGUUCCAAUCUAAAUGCAGCGCCGCUCCUCUCCUCUUCCAUUUCAAAACCACCGCCCCUCCUCUCAUGUUCCAUCGCUCCUCUCCCGUUCUAAUCCAAAACCAGCGCUGGUCCUCUCCUCUUCCAUUCAAAAACCACCGCCGGUGAGUGAAGGUGCUGUGGAGAAAUAGAUCGAUGGAGGAGUACAACCAAUACAUGAGGAUCGCAGACGGUGACCCUGUGAAGCUAGCUAGGAUGUUGGAGAUACAGUCUUGGUUUGACAACAAGGACCAACUAGCGGCGAUGGCGACAUCCAUGGCCAAAUAUCUGCAAUAGAGCGAAAAGGCGGUGAUACUCCUGGAGGGAGUCGCGCCGGAGUACAUAGAGCUGCUCCUCUGGGCCAUGGAGCAAACAGAUUCACCGAAUCUGAUCGUGAGGGAGCGGUGGUGGGAGUAUCGAUCCCAAAUGGAGCAUCCACCAGAGAUUGAAGGAUCGAGCAUCUAUAGGGUGCCAUUUGUGAGGGUGUCCUGCCAGGGCAAGCCGGUGGAGUCUUUGUCGACCGAACCCAACUGCAAGAGGAGAAAAGCAGUUGGCCCGACGACGCUUCCCAUCCAUCGUCUCCCUCGCCGCUCACAUCAUCUCACGGGGCGGCUGUCUGCUACCGAGGAAUAGGAGGGGGCUGCCCCCCCAGCCCAAUAGUCGGGCAGGUUGUGAAUUGUCUGGUGGAGCUUAGGGUUGUCAGUAUUUGCAGGUUGUGAAUUGUGUUUUGUGUUGUGUAUUUUGAGAGUACUUUCAGAUAUGAAUGUCUUUUGAAUUUCAAAUUUGCAUUAUUGAGCAUAUGAAGUAUUUUAUGAAUUCUAGAGAUCUAUUUUUAGCACUUAAAAAAUGUAGUUUCAUGGGAGUAUAAAAGUGCAGACAAUGUAAUUCUCAGAGAAGAAACUACAAGUUUUAGUUUCAGAUAAGAAACUGCAAGUUCAGUUUCAGAUAAGAAACUGUAACUUUCAGAGGCAGAGCAUUUAUAUUAACACAGCCUUUUCAAACAGGGUUAACAUCAUGUUGGAAGUUUUAUUCAUGGUCAAAAAUGGAACUACCAGCCAGUUAACAUCAUGCUGAUCAACAUUCAUGCAUACCACAUCUUCAUAUGAUGCACAGUCAAAAUGCCCACACGAUGUCGAGUGUGCGAAACACAGAGAAAACGAGGGACGAAGUUUUGGCAAGUGUUGGACGUGGUUUUGGGCUGCCCCGUCUAGGCUUUCAUUUUUAACAUGCGCAACCCACGACCUCGGAUGGGAGGUCCAUAUGCCUGUUUGUAUUUUCUUAGGGUCGUCAUGUAUCGAACGGCCUAUGGACCUCCCAUCCGAGGUUUUAUUUCUGGCAGCCCAAUUUAUGUAUUUUUUUGAAGAAAACACAGAGGUCUGUUCUCUUUUUCUAUAUAAGAAUAGGAACGCCAGGUCCAACUUAUGUUUCCCUUCUAACUAUAUUAUUUAUAUUUAAAUUAUUUUAUAUGUUAUUAUAUAUUAAUUUUAUUGUCAUCAUAUAUUUAACAGAUACUUACAUAUGUAAAAAAAACAAUAUCCCACAUCUUAUUAACUUAUAAAAAUAAUUUCUUAACAAAUAAAAUCCUGGAUUGUUUUGCCACGAAAAUCCUAGUGAUUGUGUACAAAAGCUUGGUAAGAUUUAAGGAUGAAUAUAAUAAUAUCACUUAUUAUUUAAAUAUAUUUAUAACAAAAUGCUUAGCCCCUUUUUAUUUUUUUGAUAACAUUGCUGGCCCAACCCAACAUUAUAAUUAGAAUCAGCCCAGCAAAAUCGUGUAUUUCGACAAAGUGCAAAUGGCCUGUAAUUUUUUAGGAAAUAAAAUAAAUGGGCCGCAUGAACGCUACAUUAUUUGUUCACCCAGCCAGCUAAUGGUUGUAAUUCAAAAAAAAGAUCAAAUUGACUGUAAAUUCUACCGCACAAAAAAAAGACUGUAAAUUCUGAAAAAAAAUGGGUUGAAUACGUGCCACAUUUUUGGAGGGUGAAAUGUGGGCCAAUAGGUCGAAGCCAACACAAGUCGUUGUCAAUUUAGUCAACAAAUUGCUUCUAUAACUAUCUCUAACACAUAGUGAUAAAGUAAAGCAAUUAUAUGGCGUUUGCAUUUCAUACAAUAAAGAGACAACCAUAAGGCUCCUGUCGGUUGCCAGUAACUUUUACAAAACAUGAUCAUCUCAUACAAUAACGUAUAUCACAUCAUGUCUUGACCAUAUCACAUCACAACAUGCAUUUCAAAAACAAGUUAGACAUCCUCUACUUUGUUGUCGCAAGUUUUACGUGGCUGCUACAGGCUUCUAGCAAGAACUAUUCUUACCUACGCAUCAAAACCACAACGGUGAUUUAUUAAGUUUGCUAUUUUAAACUUCAACAGGGACCGGCCACAGUCAAAUUCGUUUCAACUAAAGUUGGAGAAACAGACACCCGCCAGCCACCUUUAUGCAAAACUAGUUGCAUGUCUGUCGGUGGAACCGGUCUCAUGAACGUGGUCAUGUAAGGUUGGUCUGGGCCGGUUCAUCAAACAACACCGCCGAAUCAAAAUAAGACAUUGGUGGUAAGCAGUAUGACGAUCACUGCCCACAACUCUUUGUGUUCUACUCGUGCAUAUCAUCUACGCAUAAACCUGGCUCGGAUGCCACCGUUGGGAAAGGUAGCAUUCAAUUUUAAAAAAAUCCUACUCUCACGCAAGAUCUAUCUAGGAGAUGCAUAGCAACGAGAGGGGGAGAGUGUGUCUACGUACCCUCAUAGACCGAAAGCAGUGUUUGACAACGCGGUUGAUGUAGUCGAACUUCUUCUCGAUCCCACCGAUCAAGUACCGAAUGUACAUCACCUUCGAGUUCUGCACACGUUCAACUCGAUGAUCUCCCUCGAACUCUUGAUCCAGUGGUUGCGGCCUGAACUACGUCGGUAUUUCCUCAAAGAGGAAGGGAUGAUGCAGCACACCUACGAUAGGUAUUUCCCUUAGUAAUGAGACCAAGGUUAUCGAACCAGUAGGAGAACCACACAACACCACGUAAACAGCUCGGGCACACAAAGAACAAAUACUUGCAACCCGACGUAAGAGAGGGGUUGUCAAUCCCUGACAGGUAAAAAGAUAGGUAAAAUUGUAGUAGAUUGGAUAAAUGGAUCUCACGAGAACGCGAGAUAAAAUAAAUAAUAAUAACUUGUGCAAGGUAUUUUUAGGUUUUUGGAUUAAUAGCUCUGAAAAUAAAAGCAAAUAAAAAUUGAUCGCGAAGGCAAAUAUAAUAAAGAAGAGACCCUGGGGCCGUACAUUUCACUAGAGGCUUCUCUCGAGAAAAAUAGCAAACGGUGGGUAAACAAAUUACUGUUGGGCAAUUGAUAGAACUUCAAAUAAUCAUGAUGAUAUCUAGGCAAUGAUCAUUAUAUAGGCAUCACAUCCAAGAUUAGUAGACCGACUCAUGUCUACAUCUACUACUAUUACUCCACACACCGACCGCUAUCCAGCAUGCAUCUAGUGUAUUAAGUUGAUGGAGAAAUGGAGUAAUGCAAUAAGAACGAUGACAUGAUGUAGACAAGAUCUAUUUAUGUAGAAACAGACCCAUCUUGUUAUCCUUAAUAGCAACGAUACAUACAUGUCGGGUCCGCUUCUGUCACUGGGAUCAAGCACCGUAAGAUCGAACCCAUCACAAAGCACCUCUUCCCAUUGCAAGAUAAAUAGAGCAAGUUGGCCAAACAAAACCCAAAUAUCGGAGAAGAAAUACGAGGCUAUAAGCAAUCAUGCAUAUAAGAGAUCAAAAUAGUCAAAUAACUUUCAUGGAUAGAAACAUAGAUCUGAUUAUAAAGUCAAAGUUCACAGGAUCCCAACAAACAACCGCAAAAAGAGUUACAUCAUAAGGAUCUCCAAGAGACCAUUGUAUUGAGAAUCAAAAGAUAGAGAGGAAGCCAUCUCGCUACUAACUACGGACCCGAAUGUCUACAAAAGACUACUCACGCAUCAUCAGAGAGGCACCAAUGAGGAUGAUGAACCCCUCUGUGAUGGUGUAUAGAUUGGAUCUGGUGUUUCUGGAACUUGCAACUGCUGGAAUUGAUUUUCGUCGACUCCCCUAGGGUUUCUAGAAUAUUGCGGUAUUUAUAGAGCAAAGAGGUGGUGCGGGAGGCCACCGAGGUGGGCACAACCCACCUGGGCACGCCUGGAGGGCCAGGCGCACCCUGGUGGGUUGUGCCCCCCUCGGGGAACCCCCAGGUGCUUCUCUGGCCCAUUGGAUGUCUUCUGGUCCAUCAAAAUUCCACAGAAAGUUUCACUAUAUUUGGACUUUGUUUGGUAUUGAUUUUCUGUGAUGUAAAAAACAAGCAAAAAAUAGCAACUAGCACGUGGCACUAUGUCAAUAGGUUAGUACCAAAAAAUGAUACAAAAUGAUUAUAAAAUGAUUGUAAAACGUCCAAGAAUGAUAAUAUAACAGCAUAGAACAAUCAAAAGUUAUAGAUACAUUAGAGACGUAUCAGCAUCCCCAAGCUUAAUUCCUGCUCGUCCUCGAGUAGGUAAAUGAUAAAAACAGAACUUUUGAUGUGGAUCCUGCCUAACAUGUUCAUCAUAUAUUCUUUCUUUUAUAGCAUGGACAAUUGGACUUUUAUAUGAUUCAAAGCAAUAGUAUGGUUUUGAUAUGAGGACUUCAAUACUCAAGCAUAUCAACAAGCAACCAUGUCUUUUAAAAUAUCAACACUAACACAAGUUAUCCCUAGCCUAUUAUGCUCAAUCAUUGAUCCAUUCAUGAAACACACUCGCAUAUUAGCUACACCCAAUACUCAAGUACGAUCAUAGUGUCCCUUAGUUGGUGCUUUAUAAUAGAAGAUGGGGACUCAAGUAAAAAUAAAAUUUGCAUAACGUAAAUAGAAAGGCCCUUUGCAGAGGGAAGUAGGGAUUUGUAGAGGUGCCAAAGCUCAAAGCAAAAAAGUUAUAGAUAAAAACAUUUUGGGAGGCAUGCUUUUCCUGUCAACAAAAACGAUUGAGUAGUUCCCAAUACUUUCCAUGCUAGAUAUAUCAUAGGCGGUUCCCAAACAAAAAAAUAAAGUUUAUUCCUUUUUCCACCAUACUUUCACUUUCCAUGGCUAAUAGUAUCCACGGGUGCCUUCCAUACCAACACUUUACAAGGAAUUUAUUAUUUGACAACAUAAAGUAAAUUCAUUUUUCAUUUCAGGACAGGGCAUCCCUAAUACCUUUGUCGUACUCUCGUGCAAUAACAAGUGGAUAAAGACUCAUCUUGAGAAUAACACAUCUAGCAUGGAAAUAUAUCAGCCACCCCCUACCGUUUCAUGAGCGUUACGAGCACACAAAAGAGAAUUUUAUUUUGAAAAUUAGAGAUGGAACAUACAAAUUUGCUUAGAAUGGCAAAAGAAUACUGCAUAUAGGUAGGUAUAGUGGACUCAUGUGGCAAAACUGGUUUGAAAGGAUUUUGGAUGCACAGGUAGUGAUCAUACUUAGUGCAAAAUCAAGGCUAGCAAAAGAUUGAGAAGCGACCAACCAAGAAACGAAAAAUCUCAUAAGCGAGCAUUAAGCAUAACUGAUACGUCUCCAACGUAUCUAUAAUUUUUGAUUCUACCAUGCUAUUAUAUUAUCUGUUUUGGAUGUUUAUGGGCUUUAUUAUGCACUUUUAUAUUAUUUUUGGGACUAACCUAUUAACCCAGAGCCCAGUGCCAGUUUCUGUUUUUCCCUUGUUUUACUGUUUCGCAGAAAAUGAAUAUCAAACGGAGUCCAAAUGGAAUGAAACCUUCGGGAGCGUGAUUUUUGGAACGAACGUGAUCCAGGAGACUUGGAGUUGAAGUCAAGGAAGCUUCGAGGUGGACACGAGGCAGGGAGGCGUGCCUGCCCCCCUGGGCGCGCCCCCACCCUCGUGGGCCCCUCGUGGCUCCCCUGACCGACUUCUUUCACCUAUAUAUAUAUAUAUAUAUACCUUAAAACAUCGGAGAGUAGAAUAUAUUGGGAGUUCCACUACCAGAAGCCUCCGUAGCUACCGAAAACCAAUCUAGACCCGUUCCGGCACCCUGCCAGAGGGGGGAAUCCCUCUCCAGUGGUCAUCUUCAUCAUCCCUGCGCUCUCCAUGACAAGGAGGGAGUAGUUCACCCUCGGGCUGAGGGUAUGUACCAGUAGCUAUGUGUUUGAUCUCUCUCUCUCUCUCUCUCUCUCUCGUGUUAUUGAGGUGGUAUGAUCUUGAUGUAUCGUGAGCUUUGCUAUUAUAGUUGGAUCUUAUGAUGUUUCUCCCCCUCUACUCUCUUGUAAUGGAUUGAUUUUUCCCUUUGAAGUUAUCUUAUCGGAUUGAGUCUUUAAGGAUUUGAGAACACUUGAUGUAUGUCUUGCAUGUCCUUAUCUGUGGUGACAAUGGGAUAUCACGUGAUCCACUUGAUGUAUGUUUUGGUGAUCAACUUGCGAGUUCCGUGACCUCGUGAACUUAUGCAUAGGGGUUGGCACACGUUUUCGUCUUGACUCUCCGAUAGAAACUUUGGGACACUCUUUGAAGUUCUUUGUGUUGGUUGAAUAGAUGAAUCUGAGAUUGUGUGAUGCAUAUCGUAUAAUCAUACCCACGAAUACUUGAGGUGACAUUGGAGUAUCUAGGUGACAUUAGGGUUUUGGUUGAUUUGUGUCUUAAGGUGUUAUUCUAGUAUGAACUCUAUGACAGAUUGAAUGGAAAGAAUAGCUUCGUGUUAUUUUACUACAGACUCUUGAAUAGAUCGAUCAGAAAGGAUAACUUUGAGGUGGUUUCGUACCCUACAAUAAUCUGUUCGUUUGUUCUCCGCUAUUAGUGACUUUGGAGUGACUCUUUGUUGCAUGUUGAGGGAUAGUUAUAUGAUCCAAUUAUGUUAUUAUUGUUGAGAGAACUUGCACUAGUGAAAGUAUGAACCCUAGGCCUUGUUUCAACACAUUGCAAUACCGUUUACGCUCACUUUUAUCGCUUGCUACCUUGCUAUUUUUAUCUUUCCAGAUUACAAAAACCAUUAUCUACUAUCCAUAUUGCACUUGUAUCACCAUCUCUUCGCCGAACUAGUGCACCUAUACAAUUUACCAUUAUAUUGGGUGUGUUGGGGACACAAGAGACUCUUUGUUAUUUGGUUGCAGGGUUGUUUGAGAGAGACCAUCUUCACCCUACGCCUCCCACGAAUUGAUAAACCUUAGGUCAUCCACUUGAGGGAAAUUUGCUACUGUCCUACAAACCUCUGCACUUGGAGGACCAACAACGUCUACAAGAAGAAGGUUAUGUAGUAGACAUCAAUAACUAACACCGAAUAAUGCACCACAAGUAGGAUGUAAUUUCAUUGCAUAACUAUUGACUUUCGUGCUUGCAUAGGGAAUCACAAACCUUAACACCAAUAUUCUUACUAAAGCAUAAUUACUCAUGAACAUGACUCACAUAUUAUAUCAACAUAUCUCAAAACUAUUACAAGGAAUCAAGUUUAUUUUGUCCAAUGAUCUUCAUGAAAGUUUUUAUUAUAUCAUCCAUAGAUAUUUAUCACUUUGGGACUAGUUUCAUAUGUUGCUUUUGAUAAGCUCAAACAAAUAUAAGUGAAUAUCAUGGGCAUAAAAACUUUCUUCUCUCAAAAUAAUUUAAGUGAAGCAAGAGAGAAUUUCCUAAAAAGAUUACUAACUCUCAAAUAAAUGUAAGUGAAGCAUGAGAGCAUUUCUCCAAAAAUACUAAAGCACACCGUGCUCAAAGAGAUAUAAGUGAAGCACUAGAGCAAUUCCAUAGCUCAUAAAGAUUUAAGUGAACCAUAGAGAGCAAUUCUAACAAGUCAUGGCAUAAUUGUGGCUCUCUCAAAUAGGUGUGUCCAGCAAGGAUUCAUGACUAAGAACACAAAAGCAGAACAAGAAAAGACUCAUAUCAUACAAGACGCUCCAAGCAAAACUCAUAAUAUGUGACGAAUAAAAAUAUAGUUUGAAGUAAAAUAUCAGUGGUUGUUAGAAGAAAGAGCGGAUGUCACUCGGCGCAUCCCCAAGCUUAGUUGCUUGAUACUUCUUGAAUAUUAUCUUGGGGUGCCAUGGGCAUCCCCAAGCUUAGCCUUUUGCUAAUCCUUAUUCCUUCAUCCAUCGUAAAGUCACCCAAAACUUGAAAACUUCAAUCACAAAACUCCACAAAACCGUCGUGAGAUCCGUUAGUAUAAUAAAACAAAUCACUACUAUAAGUACUAUUGCAAACCCAUUCAAAUUUUAUUUUUGCAUUAUAUCUACUGUAUUCCAACUUUUGUAUGGCAAAAACUCUUCAAAGAAAACCAUAGAAUCAUCAAAACAAGCACACAACGCAAAGAAAAUAGAAUAUGUCAAAAACAUAAUAGUCUGUAGCAAUUUGGAUAUUUGGAAUACUUCUGUAACUCCAAAAAUUCUAAAAAAUUAGGAAAACAUGAGAAAUUUGUAUAUUAAUCUUAUGCAAAAUAAUCAGUAUUUUAUCGCGCUUCUGUUGAAAAUGAAAAUUAUUUUUCUAUAUGCAAAAGUUUCUGUUUUUCAGCAAGAUGAAAUCAACUAUCACCCAACUUGAUCCUAAAGGCUUUAUUUGGCACAAACACUAAUUAAAACACAAAAAACACAAUCAUAACAGCAGAAUAAUUGUGCAAACACUCAAGAACAGAAAGAAAAAGACAAAAAUAAAUUUUAUUCAUUGGGUUGCCUCCCAACAAGCGCUAUUGUUUUAUGCCCCUAGCUAGGCAUAAUGGAAAGGAUCUAAAUAUUGUCGUCUUUGUUUCUAGAUCCAUAUGAUGACCUCCUGAUUGAUUCAUAAGGUGGCUUAAUUCUAGUUCUAGGGAAGUGUUCCAUACCCUUCCUUAGUGGAAAUUGAAACUUAAUAUUGCCUUCCUUCAUAUCAAUCACGGCACCAAUAGUACGUAAAAUGGUCUACCAAGAAUAAUUGGACAAGACAGAUUGCAAUCAAUAUCAAGAACAAUAAAAUCUAUGGGCACAUAAUUCCUAUUUGCAAGAAUAAGAACAUCAUUAAUUCUUACCAUAGGCUUUUUAAUAGUAGAAUCCGCCAAGUGCAAAUUUAGAGAGCACUCUUCAAUAUUGAUAAGACCAAGCACAUCACAUAAACAUUUCGGAAUUGUAGAAACAAUAGCACCCAAGUCACAUAAAGCAAAACACUCAUAAUUUUUAAUCUUGACUUUGAUAGUGGGUUCCCAUUCAUCAUGCAAUUUUCUAGCAAUUGAAAUCCCUAAUUCCAACUUUUCUUCAAAAGCUUUCAUCAUAGCAUCUACAAUAUGUCUAGUAAAAGCUUUAUUUUGUUCAUAGGCAUGGGGUGAAUUAAUCAUGGAUUGCAACAAAGAAAUACAAUAAAUCAAAUAUCAACUAUCAUAAUUAAAGUCUUUGUAAUCCAAAAGAGUGGGCACAUCACUAGUUAAAGUUCUGACCUCUCCAAACCCACUUUUAUCAAUUUUCUGAACAAGAUUUUCACCUUCCGAUAUAUCGGGACGCCUUUUAGCUAAAGUUGACUCUUCUUCAUUCCCUUUAUUAUCAAUCUUAAUUUUACUUAACAAGGAAUCAAUAGAGGAAACACCAAUCAUUUUAAGAUCUUCAUCACUUUUAUGAAAGCAAUCACUAGACAACGCUUUUUCUAAAAAUUCUCUUCUAGCUCUAAGCAUAGCGGAUCUUUUCUUACUUUAAUCCAUAGAAACAUAAAGCGCUUUAAUUGAUUCUUCAACCUUAGGCACAAAAAUUUUCAUCUUGAUAUUUUCUACAUCAUGAGAAAUUCUAUCAAUAAUUCUAGACAUAUCAUCUAUCAUAUUCAGCUUUUCUUCUAUUGUAACAUUGAAAACUUUUUGAGUAUUGGUAAAUUCAUUAGUAUUAUUCUCAAGAUCAGAGGUGUUCCUAUUAUUAUUAUAAGAAGGAUUACCAUAGGAAUUACCAUAAUUAUUAGAGGAAUUACUAGGAAAAGGACUAGGAUUAGAAUUACCUCUAUAAGCAUUGUUAUUGAAAUUAUUUCGAGAGAUAAAAUUCACAUCUCUGGCAUCACUAUUUUGAUCAAUCAAAGUAGACAAAGGCACAUCAUUAAAAUCAAUAGGAUCACUUUUAUUAGCAACCAAUUUCAUAACAGCAUCAACUUUUUCACUCAAAGAAGAAAUUUCUUCAACCAAAUUAACUUUUUUACUAAUUGGAGCUCUUUCAGUAUGCCAUUGUGAAUAAUUUUCCAUAAUAUUAUCAAGAAAUUUGGUGGCUUCACCCAAAGUAAUAUAUUAUAUAAUUAAAAUAAGAGUCAAACGAUCCAUCACGUUUGUCCACAUAGAUUAAAUUAUCUUGACCGUUAGUUUUAUAUAUUAAUGGCUAGGAUUUACAAGAUAAACAUUACAUACAAAUAUUAUUUGCACAUACAUAAAGCAGCACAACAUGUCAUGUAGGAGUAGUCUUUUUUUGGAGAGGACACAUAUGAGUAGCCCGACAUGAUGUUUCAUCCGGACUCCUAUGCCUUUCUCCAAUAAAAGAAUGUGACCAUCCUAAUAAGAAAAGGAAUCCAACCAAAAUACGUAUUGACGUCAUCUAUGUAUCAGGGUAUAGGAAAGAACUGCAUGUCUAAGAAAAAAACUAAGAAAAAAGAACUCCACGCAGACCUCUGAAAAAAAAACAUGUCUCCCACGGGCCACGGGCUCCAUCACCUCACCGCCCUACCCGGCGAUGCAUCAUCUAGCGAUCCUCACCACCAUUGGCUCAUCGUCUUCGAAAGUUCCAUCUGACCUGGAUUUAUUUGAUCCAAAUAAAAGGUACCAUCAAAUCAAGUGUGUUCAACCUUCUAAUCACGUUCCUCGGUUGUUUCCUCUCCUACCCUUAAAUCUCAGAUUUCAAAUCCAGCAAUCUGACAUGUAUAUAUUCUAGUACAUGGUGGUGAUUUAGCAGGUACAAUCCAGUCUUGCGUGUUCCUCUCCAAUAUUUUAAUCUCGGAUUCCAAGUUCAGCAAUCGAUGGUGAUUUAAUAGGUACAACCAAAUCAAGUGUGUCGUCUCCAAUCUUUGAAUUUCAGUUUCCAAGGUCAGUAAUCUAGCCUGUAUAUGUUCCGUCACAUGAUUUUUUCCCCACACUGGAUCCACUCUACUCAAGCGAUCUCAGUUUCAAAGUUCUGACCUAGCAGCAAUCCAGCACGUAUAUUCAAUUACAUGAUUUAGUAGGAUGUACGGCCGCUGUAUGAAGCAUAUUUUGGUGGCCGCGGCUCAAAUAAAAUUGUUGAGUUCCUCUACUUUCACUCCAUGUCCGUAAGUGCUAUAUAUGCAGAAUAGCUUGAGUAAACACCUGAUAGUAAUCUUACUACAAAAGUAUACUCUUGCACACUCUUGAUUUAAAUCUUCCAUCCACACGGUGAAAUUGUUUUCUCAUGUAGCAUGUUGAUGCGUAUCAUGGUCUGCCGGGCAGACAUUGAAUGGAAAAUGUAACUAUUGUUGUAUAGUGAUUGGUUUAGUUACCACUUCUAACCUUCAAAGUUCAUAUUUUCUCUUGUCCGAUUCUAGCAGCAGGUGCCAAUAAAGGCAUGAUAGUGUGAUGCAAGCAGUCAGGCCCUCUGUUGUCCCAUCAUGCAAGCUGUUCGACUCCUUUCCGCAGGGCCGCUCCCGCUAUCAGGUAAGAAGCUCAUGUCCCCAUUGGAACAAAGCGAAAGUAUCCAUCUGGGUAAGAGCUUCCAAUCAGUUUGUCUGUUAUAUUAGUUGUUGCUUUUUGGAUAUUUCUUAUCAAACUAUAAUUGCCUAUGAAAUUUGAACAUCUGGAAGCAUGCAUAUAUUUAGUAUUCAAACAUCCUUCUCAUUAUUAAUAUAGUACAUGGAUUGUAGUGCAUAUGCUACAGGCAUGUCAUGAAAAACCUUAAUUAUUCUUCUUUAUCAUAGCCAGAGUAAGUGUGGCUACUUCUACAUCCUUCUUAUAUUUAGUAAUGCAAGGCACCUUUUGAGACACCACAUGAAUUAUAGGAAAUAUAGAUCUAAUCCAUCAAUUCUAUAUUAAGAACAAUAUAAGCGAUCCAGAUUAUAUGAUGGACAGUGCAAGAGUUUGGCUAGACUAUGCUGCAACUUUGAAUAAGGAUGGCCGCAAGAGUUUGGCUAGAAUGCUCUAUAAGUUCGAACAAGCAUCUCUUGAACAAAACUUAUUUGACAUGUAGUGCAUUAGGAAACCUUGAGAUCUACAUAGAAACCUCAAGAUCUAUUGCAGAAGAAAGCCCACGACACUCCCGAAUCAAGCCGUGGCGUUGAUGAAUGCCUCCUUGGCACUUAGUAGGUGCACGCGAGGAGUCGACAGCAAGUGUUUAUUGGCAGCAGCUUCAUCAUCUUCUCCUCUUUUGUUUGGUGCGCAUAAGUAAGCACUUAUGUAUCUCUUAAUGCAGUCACGUUGAUGGCAUGAAUCAUGCAGGUUCGAUUAUAUGUUUUACCACAAAAAUAUGUAGAAUUGUCUCUUUAAUCUUAGAGAAAUAUCAAUAGAUAUGACAUCAGUAGACAAGAUAAAAAUUCAGGCCAUAUGUUAGGUAUGUGAUAAAUUUCAAGAAAUGAAUAAACAGCUUCUAUUUAAAGAAAAGUAUAUAAGAUAAUUUAAUGCAAACAAAUACACACAAUCUCUUUUGAAGUAAUAUAGGUGACAUAAAUAUUGCGCAUGUAUACUCAGAUAAUAUUCUGAAUAAAUUUGGUAUCUAUCACAAAAAAGAGAAUGUCCUCAUGAAAUCUGGAAAAAGGCAGUUACAAAAGGAAAAUAUCUCAAAAUAUGACAGUAGCAAACCAAAUAAAAUCCAUGUAAUAUGCCAGUUAUGUGAUAUGUUUCAAGGAAUCAAUAUCUCAAGUGUAUACUGCUAGAAUAUUGUGAAUACCUUUGGUGUUUAUCAUCAAGGAAAAAGGAAUGUCCUAUUUAACUCUGGAGCCAGAAAAUCAUAUUAUACCAUAUAUUUAAUAAUUGGAGGCCUUUUUUAAUGCUCCAUGUGAAUUUCUUUGCGGGGGAUGUUAAUUAUAGGACGAGUAAAUAUUUUAUCCUGGAGAUUAAGUUUAAUCUGUUAAAUGUUUGUUUGGUAAGAUUAAGACUGCCCAAUUUCGAUGUGUGAGGGCUAUAAAGUCUCGACGCCUUAUAUGGUGGUCUUUCCUAUGCAUUUCCCAUAGCCUCCUAAACCCUGCCUCCAAUGCCAUCAGCAAACCCCCUCCCUCUCCUCCUUGGAGGUUUGAUGACUGAUGGUAUGAUCAGUUAGUAGCAGCAUCCAGAAUGGGAUGUGGAUCAGCCGGCUCUGUUCCAUGCCGAUUCACCAGGCCCCAGCAGCCGCAUCUUCUAAGCGGCCGUGAUAUUUGCGAAGAGUGAAUUAGGUAAGCAUCCAACUUGAAAGUAUUCGUAAUUUUCUAUUGGCAAUUCAGAUUACAGGGUUGUAAUUUUUUUGAGUCUGCAACAGACUACGUUUGCAUACAUAUUUGAGGUCUCGCUGAAACGUUUGUUUGUUAGCAGUAAGCAAUGAUAAAUUGAGAAUCCAUUUUUUCAUGUAAAUUUGUAUGACCAAGUUCAAAUUCUGAUUUAAUGGGUCUUUUUUUCUUCCAGAAGCAGGUUUGUGAAUGUUUAUCUAGCUUUCAUAAUCAAAGAAGGAUAUAGAGUUCACAUGAAUACAUGAUUGAUUUGGAGAAUCCGAUAUUAUACCCAUGGUCGUGCACCACGUAAGUUGUUUGGUAGCUCAUAUAAGCAUCCCAUCCUCUCAGUUGCCUAUUUUGUUUUUUCUGACGCCAAUUCUAGGCCAAUGGUUGUAAAACAGAAAUCUGUACUGAACCUUUGGUAACCUCCAAGGUAAAAGAUCUCUCUAAGAGGCCAACAGGAACAAGACCAGCCCUGUUAAUUGGAUUUUGUUCUGCACCAUUAAGAUGACAAGAGAGCAGCCUUAGCAUAUACGCUUCAAUGCUCCAUUGAUUUAGACAAGAAUUAGCACGCAUUCAUCAUGACCCAUGUUCGCAUAUGCUGACUUGUUUCGAGUAUAAUUUUCAACAGGUGAAAGCGCAUCAUUCUAUAUAUUUUCACCAGAAUUUAAUGUUAUAAAGCUAUCACCUUCUAUGGAUAGUUGAAGCAAAAAUGCUAAAAUGUUUAUGUUCACACCAUAAUAUUUACUAGAGACAACUAUUGAAUAGAAAAACCGCUCAAUAGGAGGGACCUAAAUAAGGCAACGAAUAUAAUGCAGAAUUUCCACAAAUAAAAAAUAGUUUCUUUUGAGGAUCAACUAAAAAUGGCUUCAAACGUUUGCCAAAUGGCCCACAUCCAAUACACCAAACUAAAGAAUAUACCAACAAUUCAAAAAAUAUAGCGCACAAAAAAUAUAUGAUAAAUCUAGCCGCGCAAAUGCGCGGGCCACCCCGCUAGUUUCCAUAAAAGUACCACCCGCGAUGGAAUCCAAAAGAUUAUGAGAAACAAAAUUCAACCCCACAUAAAAAACUUGUAUGAUCAUCCAAAGAUUUAACCCAUGAAUUGGGCAAUUCCUUAGCAUUAAUUUCAUCCUUUCCCAAGAUUGUGCAACAUGCUCAUGUUCAAGUUGCUUCAAGUUCAUGAUCUGGGUUCUGAGGGAAAUAGUUUUCGUGGGCGGAAAAUAUUUAGUAAUAAAAGCAUCUUUGCACUUAUCCCAAGAAUCGGUACUAUUGCGAGGCAAUGAAGAAAACCAAAUUUUUACAUGAUUUCGCAAAGAAAAUGGAAAUAAUUUCAACUUCACAACAUCAUUGUCCACAUCUUUUUUCUUUCGCAUAUCGCAUAAUUCCAUGAAUGUGUUAAGAUGGGACGCGACAUACUCAUUAGGAGUACCGAAAAACUGAUCUUUCAUAACAAGAUUCAGCAAAGCGGUAUUAAUAUCAUAAGACUCCGCACUAGUGGCGGGAGGAGCAACUGGAGUGCUAAUAAAAGCAUUGUUGUUGGUAUGGGAGAAAUCACACAACUUGGUGUUCUCUUGAGUCAUUGUGACUAUGCAACAAGAUUGCACUAAAAAACAGAUCUGACGAGAAAACGGCGAAUGAAAAAGGGGGCGAAUAAAACGGCAUUUUUUUGUGAAGUGGGGGAGAGGAAAACCAGAGGAAAUCCAGAGGCAAAUGGCCAAUAAUGUAAAUUGCAAGGAGAUGAGAUUUGUGAUUAGGAACCUGGUAGAUGUUGAUGACAUCUCCCCGGAAACGGCGCCAGAAAUUCCUUUCGAUUGUGGUUUGAACUACGUCGGUAUUUCCCCAAAGAGGAAGGGAUGAUGCAUCAUAACUAUGGCAGGUAUUUCCCUCAGUGAUGAGAUCAAGGUUAUUGAACCAGUAGGAGAACCACGCAACACCACAUAAACAGCUCCUGCACACAAAGAAAAAAUACUUGCAACCCGACGUAAGAGAGGGGUUGUCAAUCCCUCACGGGUAAACUAUUGGUAAAAUUAUAGUAGAUUGGAUAAAUAGAUCUCGCGGGAACGCGAGAUAAAAUAAAUAAUAAUAAAUUGCAGCAAGGUAUUUUUGGAUUUUUGGAUUAACUGAUCUAAAAAUAAAAGCAAAUAAAAAUAGAUCGCGAAGGAAAUAAAAUAAAGAAGAGACCCGGGGCCGUAGAUUUCACUAGUGGCUUCUCUCGAGAAAAAUAGUUAAUGGUGGGUACCAAAUUACUGUUGGGCAAUUGCUAGAACUUCAAAUAAUCAUGAUGAUAUCCAGGGAAUGAUCAUUAUAUAGGCAUCACGCCCAAGAUUAGUAGCCGACUAUUGCCUACAUCUACUACUAUUACUCCACACAUCGACCGCUAUCCAACAUGCAUCUAGUGUAGUAAGUUCAUGGAGAAACGGAGUAAUGCAAUAAGAACGAUGACAUGAUGUAUACAAGAUCUUUUUUUGUAGAAAUAGACCCCGUCUUUUUAUCCUUAAUAGCAAUGAUACAUACGUUUCGGUUCCCCUUCUGUCACUGGGAUCAAGCACCGUAAGAUCAAACCCAUCACAAAGCACCUCUUCCCAUUGCAAGAUAAAGAGAUCAAGUUGGCCAAAAAACCCAAAUAUCAGAGAAGAAAUAUGAGGCUAUAAAAAAUCAUGCAUAUAAGACAUCAAAAGACAAAAAUUACUUUCAUGGAUAAAACCAUAGAUCUGAUCAUAAACUCAAUGUUCAUCGGAUCCCAACAAACACACCGCAAAAAGAGUUACAUUAUAUUAAGGAUAACUUUGAGUUUAUGAUCAGAUCUAUGUUUUUAUCCAUGAAAGUUAUUUGAGUCUUUUGAUCUCUUAUAUGCAUGAUUGCUUAUAGCCUCGUAUUUCUUCUCUGGUAUUUCGGUUUUGUUUGGCCAACUUGAUCUAUUUAUCUUGCAAUGGGAAGAGGUGCUUUGUGAUGGGUUCGAUCUUAUGGUGCUUGAUCCCAGUGAUAGAAGGGGAACCGACACGUAUGUAUCGUUGCUAUUAAGGAUAACAAGAUGGGGUCUAUUUCUACAUAAAUAGAUCUUGUCUACAUCAUGUCAUCGUUCUUAUUGCAUUACUCCAUUUCUCCAUGAACUUAACACACUAGAUGCAUGUUGGAUAGCGGUCGAUGUGUAGAGUAAUAGUAGUAGAUGCAGGCAGGAGCCGGUCUACUAAUCUUGGACGUGAUGCCUAUAUAAUGAUCAUUGCCUGGAUAUCGUCAUGAUUAUUUGAAAUUCUAUCAAUUGCCCAACGGUAAUUUAUUUACCCACAGUUUGCUACUUUUCUCGAGAGAAGCCACUAGUGAAAUCCACGGCUCCCGGGUCUCUUCUUUAUUAUAUUUGCCUUCGCGAUCUAUUUUUAUUUGCUUUUAUUUUCGAAUCUAUUAAUCUAAAAACCCAAAAUCCCUUGCUGCAAUUUAUUAUUAUUUAUUUUAUCUCGCGUUCCCGCGAGAUCUAUUUAUCCAAUCUACUAAAAUUUUACCUAUCUUUUUACCUGUGAGGGAUUGACAACCCCUCUCUUACGUCGGGUUGCAAGUAUUAGUUCUUUGUGUGCAGGAGUUGUUUACGUGGUUUUACGUGGUUCCCCUACUGGUUCGAUAUCCUUGGUCUCAUCACUAAGAGAAAUACCUAUCGUAGUUGUGCUGCAUCAUACCUUCCUCUUUGGGGAAAUACCGACGUAGUUCAUGCCGCAAUAACGCGUGAAGGAAGCUUCCAUGGCCGGAAGCCGUCGUUAUGGAUGUCCACAAAGAUGUACCUUUCUCUCGCUUGCAAGAAUCCCAUUAGUACGUAGACUGUGUCAAAGCACAAGUAAAAGCCUCCCCUCAUUUGAGGCACUUCCAAACAGCGAAAGCUAGCCAAACUUAAUCGUGUUUCAAUUUCCAAUAUUGACCAAUUUAAUUUUAGUUUAUGUGAUGUUAUAAGCAAGUUCCACCGAUAGAAAUAGCAAUGUUAACGUGAUGUUUAAUGCAUUGUCUAUGAAAUUGCAAUGUCUUGUGAUGUUGAAUACAACAUGAAUGACGGUGCAAUUUCUUUAUGUGAAUAAAGAACAUAGACACUAAUGGGUGGGUUGACAAAUAUAGAAUUGGUGUUAUGUCAACCAUAAGUUUGUGCACAGCCUUCGCCCAAAAAGUUAUGGUGCCAAAUUAAAGAUGGUUUUGGAGGCUACAAAUAUGGUGCACCUACUAGAAUGGAUCUAUACACUUCACACUCAGCUCUACAAACAUGGACAUAUACACCCUACUUCUAUGAGCAUCUUCAAUAGUUUGAGCCGACCGAUCUUGAUUAACAAAGUUGAAACAGAUGCCUCAUAGUUGACAUAUACAUCAUACCACUGAAAGAAUAGGGCUGAAAGUUCCUAAAUAAAUCCAAAAAAAUGCGAUAGAUCACUUGAAUCUGGAUGGGCAAGUUCCACUGCAGGGAACCUAGUCAUAUGGUUUAUGUUGAACCUCGUUAGCAGAUGUUGGUAGCAUGCAUGAUGCGCCUAAUUGUUUUUUCUUAGACAAAAUGUGAUUUUUUUAUAAUAGACAUAAUCUGCCUUUGCCUCUAGUAGUGAAUACUUCUAGUUUUAAACGUUAAAAUUUUGAAGGGAAAAAAGCACGAAAAGGAAAAUAAUUCAGAAAAGAGAAUAAAAUAAAAGGUAAUUGCUUAAAAUGAUGAUUCUCUAUUAGCAUACUUGAGUUCUUUAAUUUAUAGAAUAACUUUUGAUUUUUGAAAUUUGUAAUUAAAAAAUUAUAUAAGUUUGUGGUAUUUUUCCUAUUUUUCUUAGCAUUUGAAGAUUUAUUAAAGAAAUCUACUUUAUUUCACCUAACGAUACUUUUAUUAUUUAAUUUCAUGCUAGCUUGUCACAUAUGUCUUUUUGGUAGAAAAUAAAUUCGUUGCUUAAUCAUGAUGAUUAAAAUCAUUUUGAGUCAGCACAUGAAUUUCUUGAGGACACACAUUAACCGAACUGCAAGAUGAACCUCCUUCGUGGUUUUUUUAUAUCAAUAAAACUUUAUUUCUCAAAUGGUAGAUGUGUCAUUUACAAGAAGUUGAGAAAUAAAAUUAGGGUCCAAACUUUCCCAAAAAACAAAAGAUCUAUUACUAUAGGAGUGUCCAACCAAACAAUCAGCUAUCGAGUUAGCUUCACGAAAGCAAUGAGAGAAUGAGAUCUUUGCAAAAUCACAAACCAACUGAUUGCAUUCUGCGAACGUUGCACCUCCUCACUGUGGUAAUCUUCCUAUUUAUACAUAGUCUCCACCGAAAAACUAGAAUUGGACUCAAUAUGAGCAACAUUGCAUCCGAUCCCCAUUGCCAAAUAAAGACCAUGCUUGAUGGCCAAGAUCUCUGCUGAAUCAGCACUACUCACAUACGGUAACACCCAUGUUGCAGCUGCAAUAAAAUGACCAUGAUCAUCACGUGGAACAGCCCGUAUAGCACCAUCAAGAGACUGUUGGAAAAAGCUUGUGUCCACAUUAAUUUUUAUAGCUCCCCUCUAGGCCUUUUUAAGAUUUGAUUAUUUUUUCAUUAGGAGAUGUAGCUCUAACAUAGUUUUUAGUUAAUGUCCUGAUAGAAAGAGCUAUUCUACCCGGGGUUCGUAUCAAUUCCCCAUUUACAAAUUGGCGUCGUUGCCACCACACAUACCACACUGCGACAAUUACCAACUUUGGUAUACAAACUUUGCCUGUUCCCUCUGGUAACUUAUAAAAAAAUUCAUGGUGACAAAGCUCGAUCUGUCUCGGGCAAUGGCUUGUUUGAUUGUAUCUCUUGGACCUAGUUCAAUCCAGACUUCAUGUGCUCGAGAACACGUCAACAUGCAAUAUUGUAUAUCCUCCACCCCGAUAGAACACAUAGGACACACUGAUGACCCACAAGUAUAGGGGAUCAAUUGUAGCUCUUUUUGAUAAGUAAGAGUGUCGAACCCAACGAGGAUCAGAAGGAAAUGACAAGUAGUUUUCAGUAAGGUAAUGUCUGCAAGUGCUGAAAUUGUAAGUAGCAGAGUAGUUUGAUAGCAAGAUGAUUUUUAACGAGCAAGUAACGAUAGUGGUAACAAAAGUGCAGCAAGGUAGCCCAAUCCUUUUGAGGCAAAGGAUAUGCCAAAACGGUCUCUUAUGAUAAGCAAAGUAUUCUUGAGGGUACAUGGGAAUUUCAUCUAGUCGCUUUCAUCAUGUUGGCUCGAUUUGUGCUUGCUACUUUGAUAAUUGGAUAUGUGGGUGGACCAGUGCUUAGGUGCUAUUCUUACUUGAACAAACCUCCUACUUAUGAUUAAACCCCCCGCAAGCAUCCACAACUACGAGAAAAGUAUUAAGAAUAAAUUCUAACCAUAGCAUUAAACUUUUGGAUCCAAUUGGUUCCUUACGGAAUAGCACAUAAACUGGGGUUUAAGCCUCUGUCACUCUCGCAACCCACCAUCUAAUUGCUAUUCCACAAUGCAUUCCCUUAGGCCCAAAUAUGGUGAAGUGUCAUGUAGACGACGUUCACAUGACACCACUAAGGGAAUAACAUCAUACAUACUAUCAAAAUAUCGAACAUAUAUCAAGUUCACAUGAUUACUUGCAACAUGAUUUCUCCCGUGACCUCAAGAACAAAGGUAACUACUCACAAAUAAUAAUCAUGCUCAAGAUCAGAGGGGUAUUAAAUAGCAUAAUGGAUCUGAACAUAUAAUCUUCCACCAAAUAAACCAUAUAGUAAUCAACUACAAGAUGUAAUCAACACUACUAGUCACCCACAAGCACCAAUCUAUAGUUCCGGUAACAAGAUUGAACACAGGAGAUGAACUAGGGUUUGAGAUGAGAUGGUAUUGUUGAAGAUGUUGAUGGAGAUUGCCCUCCCAAAUAUGGGAGAGUUGUUGGUGAUGAUGAUGACGAUGAUUUCCCCCUUCGGGAGGGAAGUUCCCCCGGCGGAAUCGCUCCACCGGAGGGCAAAAGUGCUCUUGCCCAAGUUCCGCCUCAAGGCGGCGGCGCCCCGUCCCGAAAUCUCUUCCUUUAUUUUUUCUAGGUCAAAAUCACUUAUAUACCAGAAGAUAGGCACAGGGGGUGGGCCGAGGAGGCCACAACCCACCAGGGCGUGCCUGGUGACCUGGCAUGCCCAAGUGGGUUGUGCCCACCUGGUGGCCCCCCUCUGGUGGUUAUUGGCUCCAGUAUUUCUUAAAUAUUCCAUAAAAAAUCUCACUGAAGUUUCAGCUUAUUUGGAGUUGUGCAGAAUAGGUAGCCUGACAUAGCUUUUUUAGGUCCAGAUUUCCAGCUGCCAGAAUUCUUCCUCUUGGUGUGUUCCUUGAAAAUUAUGAGAGAAAAGGCAUUAGAAUUACUCCAAAAAGCAUUAUUAUGAAUAAAGACAUUAUAAAUAAUAGUAAGAAAGCAUGAUGCAAAAUGGACGUAUCAGACACCAUGGAGAACAUGGUAUGUGCAUGCCUACCAGAACACCAUAGCAUGGUAGAUUCCCUCUCAGGCCCUUCCCCCGGUAACCGCAUGCUCCAACAAUCACUCCACAUUGGAUUAAGGCGCACAUCCCCUUGCUCAUCAGCUCACUGUGACCGCACUCCAUCCUGGUGUUACAGUUCAUGAUGAUAAGAAGACGGAAUAGAGAAAGUUCUAGAGCGUAUGUGACAAAAUCAUCAAGACCUUGAGUAUUCAGGAGGAUUUGUAAAAUUCUAGAGCAUAUGUUAUAGUUCUCCCAUGCAACAAAAUCAUUAAGACCUUGAGUAUUCAGGAGGAUUUGUAAAAUUCUCUGAACGUCCACCGGGAAACAUCUCGUAAAAGGACCUCAUCCCAUUGUCCCGAGUGCGAGUCUAUUAACUCUUCCACUUUAGAUAACAUGAUGGUACCUCUCGGCGUGAUAACCUUCCUAGAAGGGCUAGUAGGAACCCAAGGAUCUUGCCUUAUAUCUGUUGGAAAUUUUCCCUAGAGACAAUAAGAAAGAUGUUAUUAUCAUAUUUCCUUGUUCAUGAUAAAUGUUUAUUAUCCAUGAUAUAAUUGUAUUGACUGGUAACUUAGAUAUAUGUGGGGAUACAUAAACGAAUACAAUGUCCCUACUAUGCCUCCACUAGACUAGCUUGUUGAUUACAGAUGGUUAAGAUUUCCUAACCAUAGACGUGAGUUGUCAUUUAAUAAGGGGAUCACAUCAUUAGAAGAAUGAUGUGGUGGACAGACCCAAGUGUAAGCUUAGCAUCAGAUCGUGUCACAUAGUUUAAUUGCUACAACUAUCUUAAUGUCAUAUAUGUUCCUUAGACCAUGAGAUCAUGCCACUCUUGAAUACCGAAAGAAUACUUUGUGGGUUAUCAAACAUCACAUCUUAACUAGGUGUUCAUAAAGGUGCUCUAUAGGUUCUAGGAAACUGUUUGUUGGGUUGAAUGGAUCGAGUCUGGGAUUUGUCGCUUCGAUAUCUCUGGGCCCUCUCGGUAAUACAACAUCGUGAAUAGCUUGCAAGCAUGUGACUGAUGAGUUUAUUCAGGGGGAUCUUGUAUUAUGGAAUGAGUAAAGAGACUUGCCAGUAAUGAGAUUGAACAAGGUAUGGCGAUACCGACGAUUGAAUCUCGGGUAAGUAACAUAUCGCCGGACAAAGGGAAUUAUAUACGGGAUUAACUGAAUCCUCAACAUCGUGCUUCAAACAGAUAAAGUUCUUAGUUGAAUAUGUGCGAAUCAAUAUGGGCAUCCAGGUCCCGCUAUUGAUUAUUGAUCGGAGAGGUGUCUCGGUCAUGUCUGCAAGAUUCUCGAACCCGUAGGGUCACACACUUAACGUUCAGUAAUGCCAAGGUAGUAUUGGGAUAUUAAUAAUGGUAAGACCGAACAUUGUUUGGAGUCCCAGAUGGGAUCCAAGACAUAAAGGGGAGCUCUAGAAUGGUCUGGAGGUAAAGAUUUAUAUAUGGUAAGUCAUAUUUAGGGUUCCGUAAAAUGUUUGGGAUUUUCCGGUAUUGUACUAGGAAGGUUCUAGAAGGUUUCAGAGUGGCUCCCACUUGCGUCGGGGACCCACAUGGACGUGGAUAGUGGGGCAAGGCUCCACACCUAUGGUCUAGGCGCAGCAAGAUCCUCCCUAAAAGGAAUAGGAUCAUAUCCCGAAGGGAUAAGAUCAAGAUACCUAAAAAAAGGGGAUGGCGAUCGGUGGGGAAGGAACAGAGGGAUUUCCUUCCUCCCCCUUGGCCAACAACCCUAGGGGCUUGGAGGGCAAGCCACCAGCCCCUCCCACGCCUAUAUAAAGGUGGGGAGGCGUAGGGGGCAGCACCCCUUCCACCCUUGACGCAUCCCCCUCCCGUUACUCCUCCUCCACGGUUCGUUAACGCUUGGCGAAGCCCUGCCGUUGUUCCACUGCUGCCACCACCACGCCGUCGUGCUAGUUCUGAUCUCAUCUACCACUUAUCCCUAGCUUGUUGGAUCAAGAAGGAGAAAAUGUCACCGAGCCGAACGUGUGCAAAACUCAGAGGUGCCGCGCAUGCGGUGCUUGGAUCGGAUUGGAUCGCGACGAGAGUACAACUACGUCCACCACAAUCUUUAGAUCGUUAAUGCUUUCGGUCUACAAGGGUACAUAGACACAAUCCCCUCUCUCAUUUCUAGCAUCUCCAUAGAUAGAUCUUUGGGUGAUUCAUAGGAAAAAAAUUGUUUUCCAUGCAACGUUCACCAUCAGUGGCAUCAUGAACUAGGUCUAUGCAUAGAUGUUAUGCACGAGUAGAACACAAAUUGGUUGUGGGCGUUGAUGUUUAGAUUGCUUACCUCCAUUGUUAUUUUGUAUUCAGCGGUAUUGUGGGAUGAAGUGGCCCAAACAAACUUUUCUUGUCCACGCACAAAAAACCGGUUCCACGACUGACAUGAAACUUGUAUUGCAUAAAGUGCCUGGCGGGUGUCUGUCUCUCCUACUAUAAUUGAAUCUGAUUUUGCAAUGGCAGUCCUUAUAGAAAGUUAAAAGGCAACUUGUAUAUCAUUGAUGUGGUUUUGCGUACAUAAGGACGGUUCUUGUAAUUUCCCUAGCAGCCACGUAAAGAUUGCAAUAACAAAGUACAUGAUGUCUAACUUGUUUUUGCAGGGCAUGUGUUGUGAUGUGGUAUGGCCAAGAUGUGAUUUGUCAUAUGUUGAUGUAUGAGAUCAUGUUUUGUAAAUAGGUUCACGACUUGCAUGUCAAUGAGUACGGCAACUGGCAGGAGCCAUAAGGUUGUCUUUAAUAUUGUUGUAUGACCCGCGUGUCAAUAAUUGAAUGCCAUGUAAUUGCUUUACUUUAUCACUAUGAGUUAGCAAUAGUUCUAGAAGAAAUAGUUUGUGGAUACAACCACAUGACGGCACCUUGGAGAUGAUGGAGAUCAUGGUGCUAUGCCGAUGAUGAUGGAGAUCAUACCGAUGCUUUGCGGAUGGAGAUCAAAAGCAGAAGAUGAUAAUGGACAUAUCAUGUCAUAUAUUGGUUGCAUGUGAUGUUUAUCCUUUUACACAACUUAUUUUGCUUACGACGGUAGCAUUAUAAGAUGAUCCUCACAGUUAAUUUCAAAGACCAAAGUGUUCUCCCUUAGUAUGCAUUGUUGCAAAAGUUCGUCGUUUCAAAUCACCUCAUGAAGAUCUGGUGUGACAGACUCUAUGUUCGCUACAACGGGUGUAAGCUAGUUUUACACAUGUGUAAUACUUAGGUUAAACUUGACGAGCCUAGCAUGUACAUACAUGGCCUUCGAACAUGGAGGACCGAAAGGUCGAUCAUGAGUCAUAUAGAAGAUAUGAUCAACAUGGAUAUGUUCACCAUUGAAACUACCCCAUCUCACGUGAUGACCGGACUUGGGUUGGUGAAUUUGGAUCAUGUAUCACUUAGAAAACUUGAGGGAUGUUGAUAUAAGUGGGAGUUCAUUAGUAAUUUGAUUAGUUGAAUUAAUUAUCAUGAACAUUCUUGCAAAUUAUGUUGUAGAUCAAUGGCUCGCGUUGUAGCUCCCUUGAAUUUUAAUGCGUUUCUAAAGAAAGCUAAGUUGAAAGAUGAUGGAAGCAACUAUGUUGAAUGGGUCCGUAAUCUGAGGAUCAUCUUCACUGUUGCACAGAAGGCUUAUGUCCUUGAUGCACCGCUCAGUGUGCCACCCCCUCUAGCAUCAUCUAUAGAUGUUAUGAACAUAUGGCAGGUAUAUUUUGGUGACUACUCGAUAGUUCACUGCGCCAUGCUUUACGGCUCAAAACGGGGCUCCAACAAAUAUGUUUUGAGCACCACAGAGCAUAUGAGAUGUCCAAGAGCAGACAUUGGUAUUUCAUGCUCAUGCCCAGGUUAAGAGGUAUGACACCCCCGUCAAGUUUUUUAGCGGUAAGAUGGAGGAGAACAACUCUGUCAGUGAGCACGUCCUUAAAAUGUGUGGGUACUACAAUCGCUUGAAUUAGUUCAGAGUUAAUCUUCUGGAUGAAGUAGUAAUUGACAGAGUUCUCCAGUCACUGCCAUAGAGCUACAAGGGCUUUGUGAUGAACUAUACUAUGCAAGGGAUGGAGAAGACGAUCCCUGAGCUUUUGGUGAUGCUUAAGGCCAUGGAAAAAAGGAGCAUCAAGUAUUGAUGGUCAAAAAGACCACCAACUUCAUGAAGGGCAAGGGAAAGAAAGGGAACUUCAAGAAGAAUGGCAAGCCAGUUGCCACUCCCGUGAAGAAACCCAAGGCUGGACCCAAACCCGAGACUAAGUGCUUCUAUUGCAAUGGGAAUGGCCACUGGAAGCAGAACUGUCCCAAGUACUUUGAAGAUAAGAAGGCUAGCAACAUCGACAAUGGUAUAUUUAACAUGCAUGUUAUUGAUGUGUACCUUACUAGUGCUCGUAGUAGCGCCUGGGUAUUUGAUACUAGUCGGUUGCUAAUAUUUGUGACUCGAAACAGGAGCUGCAGAAUAAACGAGGACUAGCUAAGGACGAGGUGAUGAUGCGCGUUGGAAAUGGUUCCAAGGUUUGAUGUGAUUGUCGUCAGCAUGCUCCCUCUAUGUCUAUUUUUGGGAUUAAUUUUAAACCUCAAUAAUUGUUAUUUGGUGAAUGCGUUGAGCAUGAACAUUAUAUCUGGAUCUUGUUUAUUGCAAGACAGUUAUUCAUUUAAACCAGAUAAUAAUGGUUGUUCUAUUUAUAUGAAUAAUAUCUUUUAUGUUCAUGCACUCAAUGUGAAUGGUUUAUUCUUAUUGAAUCUCGAUCAUAGUGAUACACAUGUUCAUAAUAUUGAUGCCAAAAGAUGCAAAGUUAAUGAUGAUAGUACAGAUAGUUUUGGCACUACUCUGAUGGAGUUUUGGAAUCACUUGACUUUGAAUCAUUUGAUACAUGUGAACCAUGCCUCAUGGGCAAGAUGACUAUAACCCCAUUUUUGGCACAAUGGAGUGGGCAAGUGACUUGUUGGAAAUAAUACAUACCAAUGUAUGCGGGCCAAUGAAUGUUGAAGCACGUAGUCGAUAUCGUUAUUUUCCUACCUUCAUAGGCGAUUUAAGUAUAUAUGUGUAUAUUUACUUAAUGAAACGCAAGUCUAAAACAUUUUAAAAGUUCAAGGAGUUUCAGAGUGAAGUAGAGAGUCAUCAUAACAAGAAGAUACAAUUUCUACGAUUUGAUCGUGGAGGUGAAUAUCUGAAUUACGAGUUUGGUAUGCAUUCAAGGCAAUGUGGAAUUGUUUCACAACUCACGCCACCUGGAACACCAUACCGUAAUGGUGUGUCCGAACAUUGUAAUCAAACUUUAUUGGAUAUGGUGUGUUCUGUGAUGUCUCUUACCAAUUUUCCACUAUAGUUUUGGGGUUAUGCAUUAGAGACAACCGCAUUCACAUUAAACAGGGCACCAUCUAAAUCCGUUGAGAUGACACCAUAUGAAUUAUCGUUUGGCGAGAAAGCUAAGCUGUCAUUUCUUAAAGUUUGGGGAUGUGAUGCUUAUGUCAAGAGGCUUCAGCCUGAUAAGCUCAAACCCAAAGCGGAGAAGUGUGUCUUCAUAGGAUACCCUAAAGAGACAAUUGGGUAUACCUUCUAUCACAGAUCCAAGGGCAAGAUCUUUGUUGCUAAAAAUGGAUCCUUUCUAGAGAAGGAGUUUCUCUCGAAAGAAGUGAGUGGGAGGAAGGUAGAGAUUGAUGAGGUAAUCGUACCUUCUCUCGAAUUGGAGAUUAUCUCAUCACAAAAGGAAGUUAUCGUGAUGCCUACACCAGCCGGAGAGGAAGCUAAUGAUGAUGGUCAUGAAACUUCGAAUCAAGAUGCUACUGAACUUCAUAGGUCAACCAGGACAUGUACUGCCCUUGAAUUGUACGGUAAUCAUAUCUUGGAAGUCAUGUUGUUAGAUAAUGGCGAGCCUACGAACUAUGAAGAAUCAAGGAUGAGCUCGGAUUCCUACAAAUGGCUUGAGGCAAUGAAAUCCAAGAUAGGAUCCAUGUGUGAAAACCAAGUAUUGACUAUGGUAGACUUACCUAAUGACUGCAAGACAAUCUAGAAAAAUGGAUCUUUAAGAAGAAGACAGACGCUGAUGAUAAUGUCACCGUCUAUAAAGUAGACUUGUCACAAAGGGUUUUUGACAAAUCCAAGGGUUGACUACGAUGAGACUUUCUCAUCUGUAGCGAUGCUAAAGUCUGUCAGGAUUAUGUUAGCAAUUGUUGCAUUUUUUGAUUAUGAAAUAUGGCAGAUGGACAUGAAAACAACAUUCCUUAAUGGUUUCUUUAAGGAAGAGUUGUAUAUGAUGCGACCAGAAGGUUUUGUCUAUCCUAAGGAUGCUAACAAGGUAUGCAAACUUCAGCGAUCCAUCUAUGGACUGGUGCAAGCAUCUUAGAAAUGGAAUGGUCACUUUGAUGAGGUGAUCAAAGCUUUUGGUUUUAUACAAACUUUUGGAGAAGUUUGUAUUUACUAUAAAGUGAGUCAGAGCUAUGUAGAAUUUAUAAUAUUAUAUUUAGAUGCCAUAUUAUUGAUUCAAAAUGAUAUAGAAUUUCUAGAAAACAUAAAGGGAUACUUAAACAAGAGUUUUUCGGUGAAAGACCUUGGUGAAGCUUCUUACAUAUUGGGCAUCAAGAUCUAUAGAGAUAGAUCAAGAUGCCUGAUAGGACUUUCACAAAGCACAUAACUUGACAAGAUUUUGAAGAAGUUCAAAAUGGUCCAGUCGAAGAAGGGGUUCUUGCCUGUGUUGCAAGGUGUGAAGUUGAGUAAGACUCAAAGCUCGACCAUGCCAGAAGAAAGAGAAAUGAUGAAAGUCGUCCCCUAUGCCUCAGCCAUAGGCUCUAUAAUGUAUGUCAUGUUGUGUACCAGACCUGAUGUGUGCCUUGCCAAAGUUUGGCUAGGAGGUACCACAGUGAUCCAGGAGCGGAUCACCGGAUAGCGGUUAAAAAAAUAUGCCCCCUCUUGUUGCGGCCUCGGACGCUGGAGCGUCAACACCUUUUCCUUUCGGCCAUCUUUCACGGUGGAGGAGAGGAAAGCAAAGAAAAUGGAGUGUGAAGCGGAUCUCGGAGUGUUUGAGCUUGUGAGGGUUCUUGGAGAUGGAGCAAGGCAUGAGAGUGUGGGUGAAAUUAGAUUUACUGUUUACCUUUUUAUAGGUUAGUAAAAGACCAAGGGACUCCAUGUCGUGAAUCAAAAAUUGCUAGUUCCCGAUAUGAUGUGCAAUAUAUGCACGCAAGGAUUAAGGGAUUCUGUUAAUGAUAUCAUUGAAAAUCCAGAGCACGAACCCUUUAUUGAUGGGACCUACCAAUAGAAACGGCCUUGGCCCAUGAUAUAUCCGGUCAUAACUACCGACGUGAUGACUCUGUUCCUCGAUGAACGGUGACCACUUGGUUCGACCGAAAGUUGUCAGGGCUCAAGCCACUCAGCCUGUUGUGCCAACAUGGCAGAGCCUUCGCUGCUAAGCUAAGGAUGUCUUUGGACUCGAUAAAAAAUAUGCAAAAGAGGGCCUUGUUAAAGGAUGCCCCUUAUUGCCCGAUGUAACUCAUGACGCCAACUUAUAAGUGGUCAUAAUUGGAGGUGAAGCGAACGGCGUAACAUAAAAGGAUCUCGGAUCCGAAUGUAACCUCGGAUUAGAAGCUGUCAUGGAAGGUAGAACUCACCUACGAAACUGAAGACCGCAAGAAUGAAGUUGUUCCGAGGAAGGAGCCAAUGCCCUCGGCUUGAGGACCGGCUUAGGGGCAACUGACGGUGUCCUGGAUUGGGGGUGUAUACAACGCCAACUUGCCAUUCAUGGGAUGGUAAGAGGACCCACCGACAACUGAAGAAUGGGCCACGCAGCUGUGGCCCUCGGCGUACCCAAGGUGAAAGCCUGCAAAGACUUGGGGCGUGUUUGGUUACCUGCAUCGAGCCCAACCAGGCCUCCGCGGGAUGAGUGUGGGCUGUUUGGUUGCCUGGUUUUACUAUUGGGCCUGCAUAGCACGAUGUUUAAAGCAGCUCUGGGGCCUACCUCACUGGGAACGCACGAAUCGGCAGUUUCUGCAGGGCCAGGCCCGAGCGGUGCACGUGGGCGGGCGCGGCUGCACGCGCGCGGCCACCCUCGAGAAGCCGCGUUGCUUCCUGAAGCACCGGCAGUUAUUAGCCUCACCACUCCCUCUCCUCACUCUUCCCCACUCUCCCAACUCUCACCGGCAGCGGCGGAUCGGAGCGGAGGAAGAAGACCACCGGACUCCAUCACCGGUGGCGGCGGAUUGGAGCAGAGGAACAAGACCGCCGGACUCCAUCAAUGGCGGUAAGCACUUCUCUCUCGUCGACAUGCAUGCUAGAUUCGAUCCAUGGUGAUAGAUUCGAUCCACGGCGGAGGGGAAUGGGGAAUAGAGGUAGAUAAGCAUAGGGGUAGUUCAUACUAGUUCAUAGUAGUUCAUAGGAGUUCAUACAUGCAAGAUCGGAAUGCAUAAGGUAGACUUCGGGAUUGGGGGAUAGGGGAAUAGGGGGAAAGGGGGUAGACAACAAACACCGGAUGACCGCGGCGGCCGUCACCGGCGUGCGGAGCGGCUGGUCGAGCCGCUGGCCUUCUUCUUCUUCUUCACUGUCGUGCCGGCCGGCGGGUCGUCCUCGUUGUCCUCGGCGGAGUCGAGGUCGAUCUGCCAGGUAGGACGGACUGGCUCUGGCGCCCUAGCUGGCAUGUGCACCGCCUCUUCUUCCUCCUCCUUAGGCUCCCCGCCAAUGACCGCCGGCGGCACGACGGUCAAUAGGAGCCCAGUAGGUCUUGUACUUGCACCACUUCUUCCUCUUUUUAGGGUCGUCGGAGACGGCCUGAUUCAUGGCCCAGCGAAUGAUGUCAACUGCCAUCGCGCCCUUCGCUGGGUCAGGAAUCAGCGUCUUCAGCUCUUCUUUAGUGGCCUUCAUGACCACAACAUUCAAUUCGUUCUGCAUGUCAGCCAUGGAGCCGAAGUUCGAGCACACCUCCAUGGUGUUCUCGAACUUGGUCCGGUCACCAGCCGUCCACCCAAGCAAGAAGGCCCUCCAGCCAAUUCCCCAAGGGAAGGGGUUGGAAUUGGAGUUGGAGCUAGAGCUCAUGGCAAUGGGGAGGAGGAAGGUUGACAGUGAGAGAAGAGAGGGGUGGGUAAAUAGUGGUGGGCAGGGUGAGUAAAUAUAGGGGGGAUGGAGAGGAGGAGAAGAGUGACAGUCAUGCCGUUUUAACUACAAGCUCUUGAAUUAGCCAUGAACUCUGUGCAAUGCAUGACUCCAUGACUUGUGUGCAGAUCGAGGACACGGAGGUGCUCCCGGCCAUUGACAGCAAGGGCAAGCAGCCCCUUCACCCAAUGCCCGACGAGGUUGAGCUGCCGCCCACCACCGAGGAAGACCUGAAGAUGCCUGAGGGUGGCGAUGAUGAGGGCAUGGAGGAGCCCCCCAGCAACAAGCUCCGCAACUACGGCCACUACCAUCAGGAGGAUGGCCCAACGCACUUCUGCAAGGUAAUCCUUGCAGCGAAGCUUGAGUGCAUCCCCAUGCUCCUGGACUUCACCAAGCACUUCGUCGCGGUGCCGAUGGAGUUCAAGCUCAGGAACAACAUUGGCUGCUCCUGAAAGGUGACGGUCAAGCCGAUGAAUGGCAGGGUGACCCUGGAUCAGGGUUGGGCCACCUACGCAGCCAUUCAUCAGAUCAAGAUUGGCUACAUGGUGACGUUCAAGCUCCUCACUCCCGACACCCUCAAGGUCAUCAUGUUCGACGACGAUGGCAUUGAGGUCGUCAACAAAUGCGGGAAGCACGACGACGCCUUCACCGCCAAGGAGUAGGGCUGGGCCACCUCUUUCGAGCGUACUAUCGAAUUAUGCUAGUUGAUGGUUUAUGCGUUGAACUGUUAUAUCUUUGGUACUGCUUAUAUCUGAAUUAUUCUAGUUCAUGCUCUGUUUAUAGUUUGUUGUGCUUAUGAUGUGUGUUGCCGAAGUGUGGUGGUAACCUCACCAACUAGCCAAAGAGGUUACCACACAUCAGGCCUUGCGUACAACCAAACACCAUGCCUUGGGUUUGUGGACUAACAUGCAGGCAACCAAACACCAGGCAGUGUGGUUCAGCCCAUGCAGGCAACCAAACAACAUGCAUAUGGUGCAUUUGAGGUUGCAUUUGCAUAGCCAGACUGAGUAGAGAAGUGUAUGUGAUGCAGGCACGGUUGCACACGGCAACAAAACAUGCCCUUGGUGUACACUUCAAGACUUAUACAAAUGAUCGUCAUGUCAUUGCUAGUUGUAUCCAACAUAGUUGUAACCCUAGAUACCCCCGGUGCCUAUAUAAACCGAGGGGUUUUAGUCUGUAGAGGCAAGGGUUUUAAAGGAUAGAGCUCACACAUACGACCUCGAGGUAGAUCAUCAUGUACUUUGUAUCCCCAUCCACAAUAAAUACAAUACAAUACAAGAAUGACAUAGGGUCUUACCUCUUCGAGAGGGCCCAAAUGUGGGUAAAUAUUGUGUACCCUUUACUUCGUGUUACCAUCAUGCCAUGAUCGCCACUUAGGGACCCCCUACCCAAGAUCUGUCGGUUUCAGCACCGACACAUGGCCCGCAACAAGAUUACCUACUACAAGCUCCUAACGCCAGAGCUCCAGGCGAAUGAGGAGGCUCGUGCCGCACGUCGUGCCGCACGCAUUGCGGCUGGGCUGCCUCUGGAUAAUCCGGAGGAGGCGCCGAAGCAGCAGGAGGAGGAGGGGAGAGAUGGAGGAGGUGGGAGCGAAGAUGGUUGCACCGGAGCAGAAGGACGAGAAGACGGAAGAUGAGUCUUCUAAAGAAAAGGAGCAGACACCAGCGCCGGAGCAAGCCAGAUUCAACAUAAAGGACGUGCUCACGGAGUUCGAGCUCGCCCAACCUGAGGAUGUUGUGGAGCAGUAGACCGUCCUCUACUUCAUCCACUCGAAGAUGGAGGUGGAGGCCCGCCGCUUCCUCUAUGAGGCGGGCAUGGAGCUCGAUGAGGCCUGGACAUAGAAGGAGGCACCACCGUUUCGCCCGGCCGCCAACAACCACGAGGCCGGCGGCUCUAGCACGAACGUCAUCGACAUAUCCAAUGACGAGUAGUGUAUGUAGUAGUUUGCUAGUUCCUACGGAGAUCAUGGAUGUUGUAUGUCUUUGUAUGAAAAUGGAUAUCAUUAAAUGGGGAGUGUGGUUCUGAAGUGUUAGUUGUGGAUGUGAAGUGUGAGAUAUGAGAGUUGAUUGGGCACUGUCUGCGGAGCGAACUUUUGAAGGCUCACGGUUGUUAUGUGUGAUUGUAAAUGCUCUUGUUUGGACGUGGAGUUUCUAACCUAAGCUCAAAUGCUCCUGAUGUGAACAGUAAAAUAAAUAAAAUAGGAAAACAUUUUUAAAAAUUCUGAUUUUUUGUGCCAUACUUUAAGAAAUAAUUGUUGUGCAUGCAAAAUUUCAUCACGAAAUGACAUUGGUGGAAGGCAUGGUAAAAAAACAAAAUUGAUGCUCUGAAAAUGUACUUUCAAACGCAUUUUGGAGUUCUGAUUUUUUUGCCACGACUUCCGCUAAUGUGAUUUCGUGAUGAAAUUCUGCAGGACAACAAGCAUUGCUUAAAGUAUAGCCAAAAAUCCAAAAAUUCUUAAAAAUUUUUCUAUUUAUUUGAUUUUAUUGUUCACAUCAGAAGCAUUUGAGCUCAGUGGAAAGGUGCUUUGUCUCUUGUUCCUCUAAGACUAGAAUAAAGGAACCCUAGCGCCGCGAAGUCCCCGUCUCCCUCUCGCACCUCUCCUGCCAGCCGCCACCGGGAAAAUCAUGGUUGGCGUCGGCCGUGGCGGGACCUCUCCUCCCCGCAGCGGCCGGACCUGGCACGGGUGGCGUUCGGCGGCGGGUAGCGGCACACGCCGGCGAGGACUCAAGGGUUGACGGCAGGAGCUGCACCGCGUGCUCGUGUCUCCCCCUGGUGGUCGCGUGGGGGGGGGGGCGUUCGGGGCGCUCCUAUGGUGGUAGGUGGUAGAUCUAUUUCAGAUCUGCCCACCGGUGCCUCGGGCGGCACAGGGAUCUCGAGGCGGCGACCUUGAUCGGUGGCACGCGGUGCGGCCUGCCUGGCAGGCGGCACCCACGGGUACAGUUGGGGGGCUUUCCAUGGCUGCGUGGGCGGCAUGGAGGUGGCGGUGCUACGGCGGCUCCUCGAUGGCCGACCAGAGUUCCAUGGGAGGCGUCGUCUCUGACUCGAUCUACUCCGGUUCGUGCUAGCUACGGUAGUGACUACGAUGGACACCAAUACUGCCUGGGCGGAUCUGGCUGGUGGGCAUGGAUCCGGGGGAAACUCCAGGCCGGCAUGGCGGCCGCACCAAAGUCGACGCCCUUGGCACUGAUUCCCUUCCUGGAGGCUUCAGUGUUGAUCAUAAGCCCCCACCUCUGCCAUGAGCGCAUGCGAAAGCCUUUGUUCCUCUGUUUGGGCGACAAUGGCACUUUGGUGUCGUCUUCCUUCCUGAAGGCGUCGGCCGGGGACUGCUCAGGGUGGUGGAGUUGCUGGUAGUUCGGAGCUGACACGAGAUGGCAUCUAGGUGGAGCGGUGUGGCAUUAACCAUAUCUUCGACGGUGGGUCCUGGUGGCAUGGCGCAGUGGAGAAUCGACGUCUGAUGCGCGGAGAUGGACUCGCGCAGGAGGAGGAAGCUGUUUGGCGUCAUGAUGGCGUUGAUGGCAGAGAGGCCCGGCAAGGUCGAUGCAUCAGUUCUCCUCUGAGGAUGGACCGAUGGAAUAUGGAGGUGACAACCCAUGCAGCGUGCGGUGCUCACUGGGAGUGUGCCAGACCGUUAUGGGACCCAAUCCAGGUAGUGGCUUGGAUGGGACACCCGGCUUUAGAUGUUAGGCUUUGGUGCGAUGUUUGUUUGGUAUUAGGCCCAGACAUUCGGCACACCUUCAUCAAGAGGAUAGGAGUAGCAACAGCAUUGCCAAGAUGGUGGCUUGAGGCUAAUUGAUGUAUCACCUUAUAUGGUCUUUGUUUUUUUUUGAAACGGAGGCAAAAGCUUUGCCUCAUGUAUUAAUUAAGGAGAGAAUAGAGUUUUUUCUUUACAACACACACCCUUUACGCGACAUGGCAAUUACUCUCGCAAAAUAAAAGACCCUAACUUCUUUGCCCCGGCGGUGACCCAAAGGCUUGCCUCAGCCACAAUGGAGUUUAGCAGAAUUGGCGGAGGAGCGCUCUUGUGCCGAAAUACUCAUGUGUUUCUCUCGUUCCAGAUUACCCAUGACACGAGCAUGGUAAUCGACGCAUUGGCCUUCCUGUCCGUAGUGCCGACGUCGCAUGUACUCACCCACCAGCUCUCAACUGAGUCCAUCAAGUGCCAUGAGGUCGUGUCCAAGUCGUCAAUGCCGAAUCUCUGAAUGACCAACCUCCAGAGCCUCAGAUAGUAGCGGCACUUGAAGAGGAGAUGUGACCCACAUUCCUGCAUGCCCUUGCACAAUGGACAAGGACCGCAAUUUGGCCACCCUCGCUUGGCCAACCGGUCGGCAGUCCAAAUUCUGUCCUAAAGCGUAAGCCAAGCAAAAAACUUCACUUUCGGUGGCGCCCAGGCCUUCCAAACCAUUUGGUCCAUGGGGGAAAGAACCAAGCCCAAAAAUUGUGCCUUGUAAGCAGAGGCCGCCGUGUACUGGCCAAAGGCCGAGUGCUUCCACGAGAUGUCAUCAUCGGUAAGCUCAUCAAGCUGGACCUCUUCCAGGAGCAUCCAGAGGGAUAACAACUGUCUAAUAUGCUCGGCGGACACAACUGCGGAUGGAGGUUUGAUCCUAAGGAUCCAAGCGUUGUCCCUGAGGGCCUCCCGCACCUUCCAAUUCUUUCGUGACGAGGCUUCGAAGAUGAGUGGAGCAAUGUCCUUGGGCUUGCGGCCAAGAAGCCAAGGAGAAUCCCAGAAAGGCGUUCGCGCACCAUUGCCCACAGUGAUGGUGGUAGAAGCAUAGAAGAAGUUGAGGUCUUCGGCGUCGCAUGGGUUCCCGUGCCCCACCCAGAGCUUAGAAGGCUCCUUCCAUUCAAACCAUGGCCAACGCAAACGCAAGGCACGCGCAAACUUCUCCGUGUUGAGCACCCCAGGCCCACCGUAAUCAUGUGGCCGAGUUGCCGUUUCCCAAUUUACCUUGCACUUGGCCCCGGUCAUCCUGUCCGAGCCGGCCCAAAGGAACGCCCUCUCUAGCUUGCCGAUGAUGCGUAGAAUGCUUGGCGGAAUGACAAAUAAUUAAUAAUAUGGCUGCAUACAUCGUCCAGAUGCGAGGCCAGGGUACAUCCUCCUUUUCAAAAAUAAGAAGACUAAUUGGCAGAGGACAUCAUCUCCUUUUAUCCAUGGACACCACCUGAAGCAGUAGACAUUAUUAUACUAAUUGGCAGAGGACAUCAUAUAUAUCAAUACAAUAUCUCUAUCUGCAGUACCUUCCGUCUGUCUACUGUCCCUCCUUUCUGAAAAAUAAAGUGUUGAAAAAAGUCGUGAGACCCAUGAAGCCACACAGUGACCCCACAGAGCAGCUUAGCCACCCAAUUAGCUGUUAGUCAGCUACCCAGCUAUUCCCUGGCCACCACCGCCCGGGCGUAUUAUGCACACUCCUCUCCCGGAGACGAUUUGCUUUAAGGACCGACUUGUCCUAAUCCAUGCCACUUGCUCUUUUAUAAGUGGCGCCGCGCUUUGGGUCGCAAGAGCCGGUGGCCACUCCUUUUGCAACCACUCUUCUCAUUGGUUCCGUUAAUCUGGUCAAAUUCGCUCAGCCAGUAGCAGCAGCAGUACGAUUUAAUUAAUUAGCGUUGAUCAUGCCCGGAAUUAUUUGGAAUCGCCUAAAGUUCUAAAAUGGGGAAGCUUUUGCAAUUUCAGUCUAGGAUGCUGCUGGCAUCCUGGCACAGGACGCUGAGAAAAGAACAGAGGAUUCUCUCAGUUAUGGAGAGAAUUAGUACCGAGGAUCUAGUUCCCAGCCGUAAGUCUGCACAUCGAUUGGAAUGACAUCAUUAUUGUAUUUUGCGGUACAAAGAUGAAAUGUAAAAUUAUUAUCUCAGCGCCAUCUUGUUGAAAGCAACCGGCAACAGCUACCUGAGUUUUCCCCCUGUUGGGCAUCGCUGUCGCCAGCCAUCAGGAACUCAGAAAAUUGCACAAACGGCAGCCAGAGAAACGAACAAAGAUGAUGAUAUGAGUACACAAGGAAAGGAGGCUGCUUGCUUACGCCGAAGGCUUUUUUCGACACCAACGGAAAAAGGGGCGAAGAAAACAAACAGAAAAGGGAAAGGAGAGGGGGGCGAAAUAGCAGAGUACACUCCAACUAACAACCCGCGGCGCCGUCCGGCCGCCGCCACCACGCCGGGUCGCGCGGGCCCACCACGAACUGCCGGGGGCCCUCGUCUCGUCUCGUCUCUUCUCUU
rnacentral:lncRNA from 1 species